rnacentral:lncRNA from 1 species
UUUUUUUUUUUUUCUUCGUGCUUAAAUCGAGAUAAAAUCUGAUAUUACAGAAGGGUCGCUCCGAAAUUCCUAGCGCGCUCGAGGGGGCAUUUUGGAAAUCAACCUACGCCCUACGUACCGGGCCUCAAAGUCGAAGCCCCACAACUAAGGCCCAAGGCCCAAGGCCCAGAGCAAAAAAAAGGGCAGGCGCAAGGAAUCCCUAUCUGCAGAUGCCCGCAGGCUAACAUAGCCCUCGUCGAAAUCGUGGCGGGAACGCUUUAGGCCUUAGUCCCGCCAACAAAGAAAACCUCGCGCCCUUUGCAAAUUAAUUUUUUAAAAGAACUUUUUUAAAAAAAUGUCAAUAAAUCUCGGUUCCGUCGGUUCGGGGCCGCGGAACCGGAACCGAAGAACCGGAAAAGAGAGAGAGAGAGAGAAACUCCCUCUCAAAUUUUCCCUCACUUUCUCGUCACUUUCCCGCCGAAACCCUAGCGCCGUCCGUCGCCGCACCGGGAACGAUGCUGGAGCUCCGGCUAGUGCAGGGCUCGCUCCUGAAGAAGGUCAUGGAGUCGCUCAAGGACCUCGUGAACGACGCCAACUUCGACUGCUCCGCCACGGGGUUCUCCCUCCAGGCCAUGGACUCGAGCCACGUGGCCCUGGUGGCCCUGCUCCUCCGGUCGGAGGGGUUCGAGCACUACCGGUGCGACCGCAACAUCUCCAUGGGGAUGAACCUCAACAACAUGUCGAAGAUGCUCAAGUGCGCCGGGAACGACGACAUCAUCACCAUCAAGGCCGACGACGGGAGCGACACGGUCACCUUCAUGUUCGAGAGCCCGAGUACGUUCCGCCUCUCUCUGUUUUCGGUUUUCGUUUAGGGAAGUGGAUGGAUGGGGGCGAUUUUGGUGCUGUGUUUUAGUUUCGACGACGAUGCUUCCGCGUGAUGCCUGGAAUCUGUUUGUUUCUUUUGCUGAGUGAGAUCUGGAUCUGUUGCUUUGGCUUGUUUCGUCGGUUGAUUCUGGUUUUCGAUACGUUCUUGUGCUGAUCGUUCGUGACUAUGGCGUGGUUAAGUAGGGUCAGCGCGAAGUAUACGUUGUUCGCUGGGAUUUCUAACGGAAAACGGCGAUGUCAGCGAAUUGUUGAAUCGUUUGAGCUUUGUGUUGGCUUGAUGCGGCAAGGUUAUGUAUCUGAUCUGAUACUGGUCCUUGUAGCAGUCUCAGCUUAGUAUGUAGUCAAAGAAGUAGUUGACAGUGGAUAAGCGAUAGAAGCCCGUCCGGUGUCCACUCCCUUAUGAGAUAAUUUCAUCACUGUCCUUAUGUAUUCCACUUCAUUCCUAAGGAGGUAUAAAAGAGAAGAAAGACAAAAUACCUUGACCAAGAUGUCCUCCUUUUCAUGCCUUCUGUAGAUCAUCGGGAAAUGAAAAGGAGGUAUGAUCCUUGGAUAUUCUGUAAUAGCCCUUUCAAUAAAUUAGUUGAAACUGCUGCCUGCAAACCUCUAUUUAUCAGCGGAUAAAUUCUAUAUGCGUAUUGUUUGUAUUUGCUUGUGCUAGUUAUCAGAGGGUCCUAAUGGGGUGAGGGAGGAGUCUAUAUGCCCAGUCAAUUUAGUUUGUUCAUCUCUUUUGUUAUUCUCUUGGAUCUCGUGUUCACAAUUUAGUGCAUGUUACAGCGCAGGAUAAAAUUGCUGAUUUCGAGAUGAAAUUGAUGGACAUUGACAGUGAGCACCUUGGAAUACCGGAGGCAGAGUACCAUGCAAUUGUUAGAAUGCCAUCAUCUGAAUUUGCUAGGAUUUGUAAAGAUCUCAGCAGCAUUGGUGAUACUGGUAUUUUUUUCCAUUCUCUACUCAAUGGCUUCUGAAACUGAGUUAUCUGAAAUUUUUCGGCAUGUUUAUAAGAUUGGAAAUUUUUCUUGAUUCAUUCCUGCAGUUGUUAUAUCCGUGACAAAGGAGGGUGUGAAAUUCUCUACUAGAGGUGAUAUAGGAACUGCAAAUAUUGUUUGCAGGCAAAAUACAACUGUCGACAAGGUGUGUCCUGUUUUCUAAUGGUCCAUUACAUUAUUCAUAUAAUGAUUCUGGGAAACAUUUGCAUGCCUUUAACAAUUUGAGGCCGCUCUUUCUCAAGAAUACGCUGGUUCUGAUUUAGUCUAUUUGUUAAUUGUUUUGGGUGAACCAUUGCAGCCAGAGGAAGCUACAGUUAUUGAAAUGAAUGAGCCAGUGACUUUGACUUUUGCACUGAGGUACCUGAACUCCUUCACGAAGGCAACCCCUUUAUCCAACACUGUGACUAUCAGUUUGUCUUCAGAUCUUCCUGUUGUUGUUGAGUACAAGAUUGCCGAGAUGGGUUAUAUCAGGUUUUACCUGGCUCCUAAGAUAGAAGAGGAUGAGGACGAGACAAAGCCAUAAGUUGCUGGGGUCCUGAAUUAGUUAAACCUGUUUGCAGACUGCAGUAAUUCAUGUUCCUGUCUCAGGAAAUUUUUUCUACUCUAUACAGGUUCUUACCCAGGUUGGAAAAUGUUUGUAGCUUUGAAUCACUGUUGUCUUCCCCAGUGUAUGGUUUACUCGUGCUACUGACUUCAGGGUACCCUAAUGGAUUUUAGGUCUUUCUUCCAACUUGUGGCAUGAAGUUUCAAUUACUUGCAACUUUUGCAAUCUUUGUGGCUUUUUUUUUUUUUUAAAGAGAAUCAUGGGUACAAUAGAACCGUCCAAUUUUGGGAAAUGUUGAAGAUGGUGCUUUCAUCACAUCAUCUGUGCUACUGAGAGGAAGUUCAUGAAGUUGUAGUCCUGGUUUCGUGACUUGAGGUUGUGGAUAAAAUCAAUGUGUGGAAAUUGUGUUGCAGUUGGGUUUUUUGGUGGGAUCAAAUGAUGAUUAAUCGACUUAACACAAGUCUGGUAGCAUUACAGAGUUUAUGCAAUGAUGCUUUGAUAUUCCAUAUGCAUCAGUAUUCUCAUAGAGAAAUUUCGGGGGUCAUCUUCACCAUCAACUAUCUAAUGAAUGGAGCUUUACACGGUAUGCGGAUGGAGCAAUGUCUGUAGGAUUGUCAUUUAUUCCACUUUUAUUUUUAUCAAGGGAGUCAUGCGAUCACAAAGUUAGUGUUAGUUUACAGAGCGAUUUGAUCAGUACCAAAUGGAUAUCAAACAAUUAGGGCAUGUUCAUCAUUCUAUAAAUUAAUUUGUGUACAUCGAGUAAUAUUCCUGUCAUUGAAUACGUUCUCGAAUAAUUGAUUGCUAUGUAUGCAGCACAACUAGGGUCAUAAAACUGUUGAAGUUGUUCUGGGCAUAAUUUAGUCUCCCCUAGACCGUUUCAUUAAGUUGAUGAAACCGUGGAGUCAAGGGAAGGGCUAGGCAUUUUCCGUUGCCGUCCUGGGAAUUGAUCUUGGUUGACCUCCAACUACCCUUGAUACUGGAUCAGAUGCCAGUGGAACUCGUCUUGUUUCUGAACCAGCUAUAUCUGGAAAACAAAAGUGAUAGGAACUAAAAUUUGAGUAAUACAAGGAAAAUGCAGUAGUUUUUAUGAGGAUGAGAGGAGAGACGCUGAAACGCACCCCUUUUUCGCCUAGCGACCGCUUAAGAGCAAAUCUGGAAUUUUGUUAUCGUGUUUAACUUUGGAUCCUGACUAUUUUCACGUAGAGCUCCCUACACUUUAGGGCUACCUGAAUGGAUCCAUACGCUCGGAAUUUGCUUCAAUCAACUCCUUACGGUUUUUAUUCUUGUCUUGAGUGAGACGAGGUUUCUUGUAAUCAAAAGACAAUACAAUACUAAGUGCUCGUUCAUAAUAGUAUUUUGUAGUUCCUCUUACGCCCAUGACAUCGUACCCAUGUGAACAGCAAAACCAAGACAAUACGGACAGCUUAAGCUAUGUCCGUGAUAUCCAAUUACCACGUUCCAUGAAAGUUUUAGGACCAGUAGUUUACCGUAAACGGGGCUAUUUGCAGGCUCUUUGUGCCCAAGCCAACAGAAUAGAACCAACAUACAAAUGGCAGGACAGUUCGAUCCUGUAUAUGAGGAUUGCAAAUGUCCGCACCUUACAUUUAGUACCCGCACCAUUGUUCACUGUGGCAAUUGCUUCAAGGUAUUACAUAUGAUUACCUCUUCAAAGAGUGACAUCUCUUACAACGUACCCUAAAGUCAUCGUUUACAGUUUCAUGGCCGGUUGGCAAGAGAGAUUGUAGAACCAAUAUAAUCAUCUUUGCCUGGAAUUUGCAGCACCUUCCAGGGGCAACGCCAAUACUUUUACACCCAACAAAGAGUACGAUAGGAUAUGGAAUGCCUUACAAAGUAAACCUUGAGUAAUACAGCCGUUACAUGUCCUCGGUAUGUCAGUGCAAUAACCAAGACACGGGAGCCGAUUGAUUGAAAGAAUGAUGGCAAUAGCCUUUUUUAAACAAGCUCAACCCAUGUUCCUUCCAUUAUGCCCGAAUUCUGCCUACUCAAUUACAUCUAUUUCCUUCAUCUGAAAACAAUGAUCUCUAAUGAUCAAACGAAAAGCAUCACAAAGAAUAAUACACAUCUCUCACAAGGCAUACUCAAUCAAAAAAAGGUUGGUCUUCCAAUAAUAACGAUUUUUCUGAAGGGGUUGAACCAAAUAAGGGAAAAGAGUAUCCAGUCCCGCUCAGUACCUGACCGUAAUUAGAUGGUCUUAACUCCCCAUAAGAAACAUCAACUGCUAUGACAGCUUCCAAUCUUCACCGACAUAACCAGCUUGAUCACCAAGCUCUUCCUCAAUGCGAAGCAACUGCAAGAAACAUUUCCAAGUUUAGUCAUACAUAGCUUUCCUUCUCAUGCAGUCUGACAGAAAUUUCACACAAUGGUUAAACCUUUUUACAUUUUGUAGUCUUUGGGACCCUUUUGAUGUUAAAUUGUCAGGAAUGCUCUCUAAAGACCGAUACUUAUCUAGAGGCUGAAUCAACAGCUAAGAUCUUUGGAAUCUAGGGGCCGGCAAUUCGUGUUCACAUGUCAAAUUCAGGUCAUAAAUUAGUGUCUAGUCAUGUCAUAGAAAAUCAUAUUUUUGCCAAACAAAAUAAAAAUUGUUGAAUUUUGAACGUCACUUUCAAAUUUUCCAAUAUCAGCUUUCAUAAAAGUGUUAAAUUGAGUAAAAUCUUGUCAAAAUUGCCAAUACCCAUAUGACCGCAUUCAACUCUAAUUUACAUUCAUUAUCCAAACAAGGUAAUUAUCGUUGGCUGCAAAUACUUUAAUGGUGCUUAUAUUGGAAUUAUCAAGAAAUGAGAAAGGAUCUCAACUUCUAAAAUGCCCUGCAAAAUCCUUAAUAGAAUCUAUUCAACUAGGAUAUGAACUGCAAUAAGAGGAGUUCAAAGAUGUUCUCAGGAGCUCCCUCUUAACAGUUCAAGAGAGCCUAUCUUUUAUAGUUUUAAUAACACAAUGUGAGGCUACAUGUUUAAAGACUUUGCUUCACAAAUCCCGCUACCUCCUUCCCAGGUGUAAAUGUUUAAGAAUUGAUGGUUGGGAAGGUUGUUAAAAUCAAGAGCUGACUUAGGAUGGAUGGGACAUCUGAGUGAUCACAUCAUAAGACCAUAUCGAGAUCAUAAGAUACUCAAAAUUAUGAAAGAAUAUGUAAGACAUAAAUAACUAGUUGAUAUAGACUAUAAUAUUUCUUAAGAUCACAACUUCAUAGAAGUAUCAUUUUGGAGGCAUAUAUCUUUACAAAAAACAGUGGUGUACAUGAAGCUUAUUGUCAUUUUCUACAAAUGCGAAGUUCAGAAUAUAUUCACAUAAAAUUUGAAUUGGUACUAUUGAUAGGAUCGUGUCAGACUUAUGAUGCUAUUAAUUAGGGUUGGAGACCUAUUAAGAUCCUCCUUGAAAUUUGGACCAUUCUUAAGGUUUCAUACGGUCAUAGUUGAUUCAGAUCAGGAUAUUAUCAAUCAUGACAGUUAAGAUUAUAUUUGUCAAUAUGAAGGCAGACCUGGUUGUACUUUGCCAGUCGUUCUCCUCGACAAGGAGCACCUGCCUUGAUGUGACCAGUACCUAGUCCCACAGAUAGGUCGGCUAUGAAAGUAUCUUCAGUUUCACCACAUCUAUGUGAUGUUACAAUUCCCCAAUGAGCAUCCUUUGCUAGCUUGACCACCUCAAUGGCCUCCGUCACCGUUCCAAUCUGGUUUACCUAUUGGGCAUUUCGUACAUGUGGUAAGUCUUACCCAAAAAAUUCAUACAGAAGAAAAAAUUGGGGUACUUGUGAUGGGGACAUUUGCUAUCACUGAACAAUAGCUUCUUCGCUUUACAAGCAGGCCCUAUUACCUUUUUUUCUGCUCUCUCUUUAAGGUAAACUGUGAUAUAUAAAGGUUUCAUGCGAAUCUCAAUGCCAAAUAAGGCAGUUAACUAAAGCGAGAGUCUGAUACCUUGAGAAGAAAAGCAUUACAAGCGGACUCGUUGAUUGCUCUCUCAACACGUUUGGGAUUUGACAUUAGCAAGUCAUCCCCAACAACCUGAGAAAUAAGUGUGAGAUAUCAUUCAUUUUACAAUCACCACAAAAAGAACUGAGGAAUAGAAACUUCAAAUUAGAUUGACUAAUGCAAUGAAGAGUUCUACCAUGGUUAUCGCUAGAUCAAAAAGCUCUGCUAAGAAAAAAUGCAAUCAGAGAGCACUCCAUGGUUAAUCAUCACUUACAAAGGAUCUAACUUAACCAAUCUGGUAGCUGCUCUUUUGCUGUCUUUGCUCUAGGUAUUCAGGAAUUGGUUUGAGAAGGGCAAGAGAACAGUAGCAUCUAAAGUGUACUAUGCAUUACAGCGACAAAAAGGAAAAAGCAUAAGACUGCAGAAUUUUUCUUCCAUGGCAAAAAUCGGUCAUGGAUAGACUACCCAUAGGAUGAAGAGAUGAAAACAGAGGUGUACCUGGCAAACUCCAAGGCUGGAGAAAUACUUGACAUGCUCCCAGUCCUCCUUGUCAAAUGGAUCUUCGAUUGAUACAAUCGGAUAGUCUAAGAUUGGGAGAAAAAAAAAAAAAGAGAGCGGAACUCAUCAUGUUUUAUGCAUGUCAGAGGCUCAUGAAAUCAAAUAGGUAAAUUUGAACUAGACUACGUACCAGAACAGAGCUCCUUAUACAUAUCUAUCAUAUCCUCCCCAGAUUUGAAAUUCUGCCCUGACUUAUUUGGAAACUUGAAGUCCAGAUCAUAUUUUGUGCCUGUAUAAAGUAAGUAGAGAUAUCAGUUUUGUAACAGGAAAUUCCUACAGAGCAUAAGCUGCGUAACAAACAAAAGAGACAUAGUCAAAUUUUUCCUAGCUUUCUUGGACAUGACACGUUUUAUAUAUCCCAUUAUAUGAUAACAGAGUACUCCAAUUAAAUGCGCUGACACAGAUUCCAUGGGAACCAUCAUUAAGACAUCAUGCAAGAAUUCUAAACACAGCUCCAAAAAAUCACACAGCACAUUGCCUUUCGAAAUUUGAUGCCACACUUCGACAAAAGUAAUUCAAAACAUUGAAAUUGUUACCUAUGCAAAAAUUAGUAGCAGCGACAUCAAUAGCUAUCUUUAUUCUCUCGUUAUAGCCCGUUCUGCUGAUAGCCUCUUUAACCAGAUCCAGGGCUUCUCUAAGGCUGUCAAGUACCAUAAGAUGUCAAUCAGUAAAUCAAAAUGAAAUUUUUUAUCUAUUCUUUUUUGGGUUGAUGUUGGUUGGAUGGAACCCCUACCUAUUGAAUAUGCUGCUGUAUCAUUGUUUAAAUCGUUCUUCAAAUAAGAAAUGAGCAACAACUAGACAAAGCUUGAACAAUAUUGAUCCUCUAUCAUUCAUGUAGUUUUGCUUGUCUAUUUUGCAUGUAAAAUGUGUGACAAAGAUAAGUAUGCAACCUGGACACAUUCGGAGCAAAGCCACCAUCUUCACCCACAUUGCAUCCCUGUGCACCAUGUUUCUCCAUAAUAACAGCCUGCCUUUUUGUUAACAAAACAUUAACAUCAGUGACAGUCUAUACAUACACAUGGAGAUUAGUAUAAAAUAGUCUUUCCCGUGGAUCAAGAAGGCUAACUAGACACAAGAUAGUAAGACAGGAUGGACAUACAGAAUAAACCACAGUAGAAUAGCUAAUGAUCAAUUUUUGAGAAUGAUAGAAGGAAGUGUUUAGAACAUCAUCAGAUAAAGUUCAGAAAUGGUAUAAUCUUUAUGUGCUUAGAUGGAAAAAAAAAAAAAAAAUUAAUGAGUCAUAGACGUUGUUUAAGUACAAUGCAGAAACUGAAUGAUUAAAUUCAAAGUACACCUUUAAGUGAUGAUAGGUUUCAGAACCCAUUUGUAAAGCCUCCUCAAAUGUGGAGGCUCCAAUUGGUAGAAUCAUGAUUUCCUGUCAACAUUUACAGUCAACAAUGAGUAAAUUCAACAGAUUAUUCAUAGGUACAUAAAAAGCUAAACAAUCCACGGGCACACAAACAAGCUGAUAUACAUUAUAGCCACAGAAACACAGACAUGCCAAGGAGAAAGAGCAUACCUGAAUGGCAAGGUUGUUUCCAGCGUGUUUCCCACCACUUAUAACAGUGAAGGAAGGUACUGGAAGAGUCAGGUCGGGCUUACAAGCAAGAUCAGCAAUGUGCUUAUAAAGGGGAACCUGAACAGAAGGGAAGUAGAAUGAAGAUUUUUAUGCCGAUAGAAAUGGAUAAAAACCUUCUUAAAUUCCAUAUGAAAAUACACAUGCCUCCUUUUCAGCAGCACCAGCUUUGCAAGCAGCAAUUGACACAGCCAAUAUUGCAUUAGCUCCCAGCUCACCCUACAAGAUGAUUUCUCUCAGACCAUGUUGUAUUCAAGGAUGUGAAGAGCAUCCCUAAUUUUUCACAUGAACCAUAAGGCAACAACUCCAAAGAACGAUUAUGGUCCACCAAGGGAAAAAUUAGGAUGGAUAGUCUUGUAUUAUAUAACUAAGACACUGUUUUGCUGUCUGUGACAGUAGAAAGGUUACUUACAAAUCAUACAUUUUUCAAAGUAUGCGCCCAAAUCACUUUCAAGAAGUAACAUAACCAGCUAGCAUUUAUGUUGGUCCAAACAGGUGCUGUCUUAGAACUCAUCAUACAAAUCAACUAUGCAUGACUAUUCAUAAUGGAAGAAUUGGACAAGUUCAAUGUCUUACUGACACACGACAAGGUUCUUAAAAGACAAUUUCUUACACACCAACGUGAAGGCUGGCGAACCAUGUACAAAACUGCAGCAUCAUAAAUUUCCUAGGCAAUGUGUUCACAAAAUGCGUUCUCCUUCAGGCAACUCCGGGCAAACAAUCAAUCCCUUCAUCAAAAAACAGGUACCUUCUUCUCCGUUUUGUCCAGGUCUAUCAUGGCCUGAUCAAUCUGAGACUGAAGAAUAGGAUCCAUCCCUAUCAGUGCUUCGGAGAUUUUCUCGUUGAUAUUCCUAACAGCUCUCUGUACGCUAUUUCCAAGAUACACUCCCUUGUCCCCGUCCCGCAAUUCCACAGCCUCGUACCUGCAGCCAUCGCCAGGCAAGCCAUCACGCCUCGCGGUCGAACCAACAGAUCGCGUCGGUACUUCGUAUGGACUAUACGAGUGAACUCAAACAAGCACCAGCAAUUCUACCGCUACUUCAAACUCACACGCACCAAUCCGCCAGUAUAUAACGCGAAACGAAGAAAACGAAGAAAGACAGAGAAACCUCACAUUCCGGUCUGGUCGCCGCUCGGAGCCGAGGCGCGGAACAUCCCUUUGUGGGUGUACAAGUCGACCUCGACAGUCGGAACGCCCCUGCUGUCCAGUAUCUGCCUGGCCUUGAUCUUCGUUAUGACCGACGGGACCGCCUUCCUCAUGUGAUUCGACUGCGAAACGAAAUCAUCCGGUUGAGCAACGACGGCAGCGCAUCAGCCGAGGGGCCACCUCUCGCGGCGGCGCGAGGCCGUUCGGCUAGCUCGAGCUCGAAGAACGCGCGGGAAAAGAUGUUCAAGGAAGGAGGAGGAGAAGGAGACGAUUGAGGAAGAGGUCUUACGAUGAAGAGGACGGGAUCGGGAGUCUUGGCCCUAACCGCGGCAUUGACGGCGUCUUCGAUUUUGCGCGAGAGCAUGUGCUUGUCCAGAUACUCCUGCACCGACAUCGUUCCUGAGCCUUCUCUCUCUUUCUCGCUCGCUCGCGGCGGAUCGAUGCUCUCCGGAAGCACGAUCGAGCAGGAGGUAGUCGACCUUCAGGAGCGACCACCUCUGUUUCGCAUUUCUUCCUCGCUUUGCUCAGGAAAUGGGUCGGGUCGGGUCGGGUCAGUCAAAGGCCCGAGAGAGUCCGGAAAAUUGGAUCCGUCUAGUAGGCCCAAACGAAGUGAUAUUAUUGUUCCCCAUCUCGAUAGGGAGAAUUUCUUUUCAGGAAGCUCCUCGUCGAGGUCACGAUCAACGUCGUCACUGAACUUUCUGUGGUUGGUCAUUGUAUACAUUAAUUGAAUAAGUGACGCUUCAAUGGUUCUUGUAUACAUUAAUUGAAUAAGCGAUGCUUCAAUAAUUCUUACUCCUUUCUUAUUUUUUGUAAUUCCUAUGAUGCAAUUAGAGCUCUCUGGAUCCAAUCACAGCCGUUUAGUAAGAACAAAAUAAAAAUUCCCGUAUUGUGACUUUCCCAGCGCUUCUGAUAGCACGACCCUGAUGUCGACAAGUUUCUCUGCCCUGCGGAAUGGAGCAACAGAAGUCUUGAGAAUUCGAGCGAAUGUCACAAUGAGCACGUAUUGUACAUAUUUUAAUCUUUCGCCUUCUUUUUGCUCAUUCUUGGUUAUUCUAAUUUUAUAGGAUGCCUAUGAAGAGACUCUGGCCAGUCGUAUCGUGAGUUCCUAAAGUGUCUUCUCAAGAUAUGUACAACAACUAAAGCACCUUACAUGAUUCAAUGUUUUGGAAAUUGGGUUUUGAGGAUAAGUGCCAUUAAUUCGUCUGUCUGGAAAGAAAGCUUUUCCUCCGUUUCGGUUCGCUAGCUUAAAAAGGCAUGUUUACAUGAUACUUUUCCCUCCGUUCUUGGGGGGACCUUGUGAGAAGGAAUGUGUUUUUUGUGCUGGCCCUUUUCUUUCUAUGUUUAACACUCGGGAUACUUCCCUUCACAGCACGCUGGAUACACAUUCAAUCGUCAGGCAUUGGUUCUAUGAUAGCUUCAUUUCUGUGCUGAAUGUUCUUUGGUGGAGAACUCGAUGCCAUCAAUUAAGAAAAUUGAUGUACAACCACCAUGCUAACAGGGAAGUAAAUCAGGCCGACACAGAGGCACAUGACUAAGCAUAUUCAUCUAUAGAAACCAGAUUAGUGCUCGAAGCCUCCGAUUAAGACAACUCGGAAGGCCCUCUGAGAUGCACGAGACAAGCUUCGCGCCACCAAUAAUAGUCCCAUUAAAACCAGAUGACAAGAUGCCUAAGCUAUACCUCGAUAAAGCAUAUUAAGUACAACAACAUGCCCACACUCGGUUGCACGUGUAUAUGUUCAUGUUCGUGGUUUUUCCUCUUUUUCCCCCUCUUUAAGAUACAACAAAAGCGCUAGAGGAUCCGGCAAAGUGGCGUAUUGAUCCUAUAAGACCCUUCGAGGCACCAAAAUGUCGAAUCCUAUACACACCUGGAGUAGCUGAUUCAGGUGUCCUCCAUUCUAUGGCGGCCAUGCUUCGAGUGCUCAGUUUUGAAGGUCUAGACCAUUUGAACCGAAGGCAGAAAUCGUCAUCAUCGUAAGCUGGAACCCAAGUAUCUUUUCCUUGGAGCGCCUCCACAAGGGCAAAUGUACCUUCGGUCAUCAGGUCAUUCCUUGGGCAAGCUGACCAGAAGACCACCGACACCGUGUCACCUCUCUUGAAAGUAGAGUUUGUGGGCACAUCAGUUUUGACAUCCCCAAAGUUCACUCCAGCUGGUGUUGCAUCCAUCACAACCGGUGUGAGUAAGCUUAUCUGUUUAGCUAGAAGAUCCGGGGGCUGCGGACCAGGUUGAACAGGUUGGCCGCUUAACAUUGCGCUUGCAAGUUUCUUGAACUCUUGGAUAUAUGCACUGAGAGUGUGGGGACCAUACAGUGUGGAUGCACCCUGAAAGCACCAUUAAGCACAUAUUUUGUAAGCUGAAACAUCUCAGUUACUUUGGUAGGCUGCUUUAAUAUUGCCAGUCACUCGUAUAAACUUAGGGAAACAACCUCCGGAUGUGGAAACCAUGCCUUUUUUGGUAGCCACCAUGCAAGGAAUUUCAUCCCUCCCAAAAAAAAUCUUUUAGUUCAGCAAUUCAGUCAGUCAAUGAGCAUACCUUUCGCAAACUCAAAUGAUCUUUCUUGUUAUAAAAUUUCCCUUCCCUGAACUUUGUUUAUUUUGCUAUAACAAAAUCAUGUCCGCAUGAUGUUCCAUUCUCUUCAAAGAAUGCAAGUAUAAUUUUCAUCGUGGAAUGGAAAUAAUACCUCAUAUCGCUGGACCUGAUACUCAUCAAAAGUAGUCACAUACUGAGAAUAGGUAUUGGUCAACCCUGCUAUAACAACAUGGACAUCGCCUUUGAAAUGUCCUUCACCUCCACUUGUAAGCACCGUCCUUACGGCUUCACGGAGACGCCUCCCAGCCAUAGUUGUGAACUCUACAAGAGAGUUGCCAUACACCGAAAUGAUUUGAUAAGAUACAAAAGAUACCAAGAUACCAUGCAUAUAAUGAUGCAAGCAAGCUGGUUCAGAUGAUAGCCAAUAGUGGCAGCCCAAAUUUUUUUCAGAUCUCACAGUUUUAAUACGCUACCUGAAAGGAAAAUAUUAAAUUUGACCUUUUACGCUUUUGAGUCUAAACACUUUUGACUAAGUUCAUGUCCAUCUUCCAUUUAAUUUGUAAGCUGAUAUAGAUUGAUUGAAAAUAGGUUUUGGUCACUCAAGAUGACUCUCGAAAGCAUUAGUUGGGUACUCCAACUAGAAGUGGUAAUUCAACAAAAAAAGAAAAAAAAGAAAAUUGACUCUUGACUGGGCAUGAGCUGGGUAACUUGUGCCGUAUUAUGACUGGCUUCCAUGAAGUUAAAAUUGAAUUAUAGACUUAUCUCCAACACUAAAAUGCAUUAAUUGGCUUAUUAUUUUGGUGAACACUAAAAAAAGACAUUUCUAAAAAAUAUUUCAUGAUGAUAGUGAAAUCAGUAAAGUACAGGAAAUAAAUCACUUCUAUUUCUACAAAAUUUGUCCAGAGUGGACAAGACUGAUAGAUCCAAAUUAACGUGUUUUUCAAGAAACUCUACCAAUACGUCCAGGAAUACUUGGGCUACAAUUUAAAUGCAUUUGACAAUCACUCAAUUACAAACGCAACCUUAAUUCGCGUCAAACUGUCAUACUUUCAUAGGAAUAGAGAAGGGAGAAGAAUACCUCCAGGUACGCUGAGAAUGACUAGCUGUCCUAUCCUGAACAUUUGAAUUGGAAGAAUUGAAGGCUGCAAAAACCAUAAAGGCAAUAAAAUCAUUAUUGCAGUGUGAAACAAUUGAAGCUAUCACUCAAGUUCUCCAUGCAUCUAUAUUCAUCUGAUAUAAAUGGAUGGGGCAGAAAUUUGAAAACCAAGAUAUCUUUCCAUUCAUAAAAAUGAUGUAUAGCUGAAAAUUCCCCAUCUCCUUGACAUUCUAACUAGAAAAGAAAGAGAGUCGAUUUUGUGUAAAAUGCCCAUCCAACAACGGCGCAAGUGUCAGAAACAACCAGCUAGGCAGUACCCACAUGUAGACAGCUUAACAGAUCUCACUUCACUUUUGCCAGAUCUCAUCUCAUUUGGGAUGGACUAGGUCCCUAACCAAUCUGACAAGGGCAAGGAGUGAUCAAUGAGGCAAAAAGAUUCGGACAAGCUGCAGUUACUGACAAGCUUCCAGGAAGGUGAAAGGUAUUUUAAAGAACAAAAUCAAAUGUUGUAGUAUUGCCAGGUGACGGGUAAGUGCCAAAAGUCUGUAAGACCCUGGAUCAUUAGAUGGAGAGAGAGCACACAAAAUAAUCCAUAAAGAAAAGCUCAUCUCUAAAUGAUCACCACAUGAGUACUAUCCAAAGGCUUCGUCCGUGGGGAAUGGGCUAGAUCAUUUCAGAUGGUAUUGGGGUCAGGUUUCAAUCCGUCAUGCAUAAAUUAAGUUUUUUUUUUUUUUGCAUGUGAUCUUUAAAAUUAUUUUGUAUGCGGCUCUUGUUUGUCCUAGGACCAUAUGGUUUCAAUCAGAUUUGCACACGAGAGGUGGUGUUAAUUUAUCCCACAUCGUCUGCUGAUGAGAUUUAUCUUGGGCUUAUAUGCAUGUACUCUUCUUCCACUAUUAAUUUAAUUUAUUUGUGGAAAAUUCUAACACUUGACAACCUAAGUUUUUGAGAAAAAUAAUUAUCUAACAUUAUAUCAAAACAUAAGUCACGAGGGCAAAUCCAAGCACUACCUCUUAUGUUUAUUUUUCCUGUAGAUUGUUUCUCAAUUAUUUCCUUAAUGUGGUAAUGUCUAAGAACACCAUUUUUUACGUAAGGUCCAGCUUGUAUGCUAGAGUCAAUAUUAAGGCUUUGUUAAACGUGCUAAAUGAGGAAAUGUUUACCUUCAAAGUAGUAUUUAUGCAUAUCACAAGGAAAAUCAAUGCAUUAAAAAUUGCAAAAUUGCCUUAUGUCGCUGCUUAACAAGGGCUCUGGAGGCACAUUUUAAAAAAUCAUGGUGCGAUAUGCAUCAUGUCUACGUACUGACAACUUCAGAUUCAUGACAAAUGGUUGCCUAAUAUUUCUGCUGAUAUAAGAAAGGUAUGAUUGAAAAGUUCAUGAUGCAUGGUAUACUGCAAGCAACCAAAAUUAGGAUGUAGCAACUUACUGCCCAAUCAUAUGGCUGCUUCAUUUCACCAGUAUCGAGCAAGAUGGGCUUUGGAUACUGACAAUCAACUUGUGUCUGGUUCGGAGUUUUAAGCAAGUUGCGGACCAGCUUCCAAAAAGGAUUUCCCUGACAUAGAUGAUAGAAUAGACAAUCAACUUGAAAGGAUAUACACUGUACAUGUGUAGGGAAUACCAGUUUAGGGGUUAGAGAAUUGCCAAUAGUCAUUACCUGGUCAUCCCCUUGCUUAAAAUCAAAAGCUCCAGGUCCAUCUGUUGUUCCGGCGGCAAAUGCAAAUCCCAUGGAAGCAGGACAUGUUUUUACCACUUCUGAACCUCCUCCCUGUUUAGGUAUUGUCACCUCAAGGUUGGAAAAAUCCAAAUAUACGUGACGGGAAUCAACCUUCCCCCGCAACUGUUCAGAUGCUUUGUUGAAAAGAUCCAAAGCUUUUUCAAAUUGCCUCUCCCCAAUUAUACGUGUGCUUUCAAAUUCAUCUGGGUAACUGCCACAUUAAGGAAAAGAUUCUUACAAUUAAUGUUCGAAUGGUUGCUGGUUUUUAUACUUUAUACCAGAUACAGGAAAUUGGUAUUAAUACCCUGGUCCACGGCCAUAACACAACUCGUUCUUCCCACCGCAGGUACUGUGAUUAAAGUCACAAGGUAGGCCAGUGUCUAUGCAGAAUGCUCCAAGCACAUUCGGGCUAACAUCACCACAGUUUGUUUGACAAAAAGCAGCUACAAAUCCAGGUUUCUCAGUCUGCCUUAGAGCACUCCUGACACGUCUAGCAACACUCAGAGUCUUAGUCGCUGGUUUACCAGGGGGAGACUGGAAAGAUGCAGCAAGCUCCAAUAAUUCAUGAUCUGCAUCAGAAUUAAAUGACUCAGCUCUAUAGUCCAAUUCAUCAAUUGAUACCAUAAAAAGUAGUGAAUCAGACAACCCAGAAUUAAUCAGCAUAAUGAUUGUAACAAGCCAUCCUCAGAGUUCGAUACUAUCUGAAGAUGGUAAUGUAUCGAGAAAAACUCUAUGUUUGGAAUAGUUACUUGAAUGGCUAAGAUAAAAUAGAUUAUUACUGACAAUCCUGUUUAUAUUAUUCUACCUCCAGUAGAAAACUAUUGGAUACCUUUGCAAAGCAACAAUGAAUUGACAACGAUGAAUAAACAGCUCAGCUAUAUCAUACAAAGCAGUGGGGAACAAAUUGCUUACGAUUAUUAUGAACUUCAGGUACAAUGUUUGAGACUCUUCGUGGAUUUCCACCAUCUUCAAGAUCAUCGGAAUAUGACAUUUCGACACCAUUCUUGUUAAACCAAUCUUCCAUAAAACGAGCAGCUGCGCCUUUGUUAUCCCCACUAAUCAACGAGUUUGUACGACUCAUAGAAGUUCCAUGCGUAGCAAACCAAUUGAAGCUACCCACUGGCCCCCACUCGCUAUCCACAAACUUCAAAAGUGUCAUUUCUUUGUCAACGUCAUACUUAUAUUUGCUUCGUUCCGCUGCAGGGUUAUUGAGGUAACCACUGGGACUGCGAUUUACUCCCGCAUCCAAAAGUUCCCCUGUUUAGCCAUUGGCAGAAACUUGGUAAGAUUAGAAGUAAAGAUGAAGACCUGAUAGAAGAAAUUGGAUUUCUGGAUGAUGACAAAUUGGCAAUUUCCAAGAAGAGGCAUGUUUCACUUAGUAGGUUGCUUCAUGAAGUAGAGAUUACCAUGUCCAGGUAUAAGGCAGGCCCUUCAUUCAAAAGUGGUUAUACAAAACUGAAGAUCGAAGAUUUAUGGUUUAAGCUUUCGGUUUCAUUAACAUGAUAAACCUCACAGCCAGAGAAACAGAAUCAUUGUUCCUCGUUACAUAUAUGCACAUGACAUGAUCCAGCAGGAAAAUUAACAGAUCUUUAGGGGCAGGCCCGCAAGUACAAAGACAACAUGCUUCAACUGAAGAAAUCUAAGAGCAGGACCAAGAACACACUAUUCUUGGCCAUAUGGUACAAAACCACAACAAAUUCUCAAAAAGUGUUUGAAUUGACGCAGACUGCAAACCUCAGGCUUAGGAAGAAACCUAACAAAUAAGAUGUUGAGAUUGUGUCUCUUACCUUUAUUCACGAAAACUGAUCCCGGCCUGAGAUUUUCAUGAGCGUCUAUGAUGCUCUUUUCGAUACCAUCAACAAUGACAUCAAAUGACUGGCGCACAAAGCCAAGAGAUGUGACAAUAUAUACAACAUAUUGGAGGAAGCCACCGGGACCAGCAUGCGUAUGGAUCCCACUGAUAGCUACAUUACUUUCAGUAUACAAGUCACCAUACCUGCCAACAUGACAACAUCCGUUUGGAAAGCCCUCAUUAGAUAACCCCUUUUUGCAUAUAUUAAGGAAUGUUUCUAUCUUCACAACAUUAGUGUCGCGAUUUAAUCAAGACUGUACCAACAGAAGUAAAAUCACAACAAAAAUUGGCAUAAUGCAAGCGCUACCUCGCCUUCAAUCUCUCGAGCACUUUGAUUGUCACCAACUGAGACGCCAUGCAAGCAUCGAGAUUCACGAAUGCGACACGCUUCCCUUUUGGUUCCGCCACGAUGAAUGCCCUCGCUUGGAGCCUGAAGUGAACUCCCGCCGCAACCUGUUCCGUAUUUGCGUAACCCAUCAUGUUGACAUCAGCAGCAGGGCCAGUGAUGUCGUAGCUCCCGAGACCAAUCAAAUAAUUGGAAUCGGAGCGCACUCCCACGCUCCCCUGCAGAAGCAACAGAGAAAUCCACAGCCAAGCAGCCAUCUGUGGUCUCCGGAUGGGGAGAUUGAAGCAACGAAGGAAUCCCAUCACAGCUCCGGCGGAUAAAACGUUUCGGCUAUUCAAUUCGCUCUCAUUUUCUAUAAAGGAAUCGGAAGAAAAACCGCAAUUCAUCAUCUCUGUGCGAAAAAAUAAAAAAUAAAAUAAAAUCGCAAAGAGGACAUAAUCCAGCUACUCUUCAAAGCGAAAACUUCAGCAAAACAGAACACUCAGCAGAUUAGGGCGAGCGAAAACAAAGCACCAGCCACGCGACGUAUUUAAUGCGACGGUACCAAACGAGAGCAACAAACGACGAUCACCGACCAUUCACCGUAUUCUCACGCUCUACCGAUCAACGCCUACACAUGAUAGGCGUAGGGACGUCGACCUCACCUGUUCGGCAAUAUAACUCAGUAGCUAGCUAAAAGAAGCGACAAUCGACUGACGAUCGACCUCGCCUACACCGCCGGGUCACCGGAGCGCACAGCUAAAGCGACCUCUCGCGCGAGGAAGCGCGAGGAAGCGCGAGGGCGAGGGCGGAUGGGGGAAAUCACCGGCGCGGUCGUCAGAAAAGCGAGGCAGCGAUAAGCAGGGAACGGAACUCGUACCUUCCGAACGGCCGGCGGCGGAAGGUCGGGGCCCGCGAGAUCGACGGCGGACGGCGCAGAAGGCGAUGCUCCCGGCUGGUUCAGUGGAUCCUCGGAGAAGACGAAGAAGAAUUUACAGAGAGAGAGAGUACGUAGGAGUGGUGGAUGGAGUCGGAGGGAGGGAGGGAGGGAGGGGAAAGCUGAGAAGCGAAGGCAAAUGCCGGUUGGUAAUCUUAAGCUUCGGACUUUUCCGUUCUUUCCUUUUCCCCACUUGAAUUUUUUUUUUUUUUUUGAAUUGAUCGAAUUAAAUAUUUUCCUUCUUUUGAUUUUUCUUGAUGUGGAAUUUUAAGUAUCCGAGCGCGGUUGACCGGCGGGUGCACGCAAGCCGCGACCGCGACAUUUUUUGGAGCGGGAGGGAACGCUCGUACGUCGCUAUCCGCCGCCCCCUCGUCGAUAGCGACGGCGGAGCUUUUGUCGGAGAUACGGUUCCUUUUCUUGGAGCGAUCGAGCGAAUCGAUUUAAUUGAGACUUAAAUCAUGUGCAAUUAUGAAUGUGUCUCCUGUAUGCUUUUAUUUUAUUUUUUCUUUAUUAUGCAGAUACAUUGUAUAAUAAAUACAAACUUAUAAGUACAAGUCUGUAUCGAAAAGUGAUUCGCUUUUUACUGAUUUCUCGAAUCCUUUGUUUCUUCUCUAUUCCAUGUUGGUUUUGUCCCUCUUUUUUUUUUUUUUUUGUUAAACUUUGCAACUUCGGACAUAAUCAUAUUCAUUCAUAGGCAUAUCGAAAUCACGCAUAUUUGGUCGUACCAGCUUUUGAUUUUCUCUCCAUAUUUCUUGUUUCGUCUCCACUAUUAUGUAAACAGAGAUGUGUAAUAUCAUUGACCCAAAGAUACACUCCGUAUCACAUAUCAAAAUUGUGUACUAUCGGGAACCCAAGUAAUGAUAUCAGAUGAAGUUUUCCACUUAUAAUUGCCAUCUCGUGAUCAUUAUGAUGUAACUAAAGGAAAAAUUCAAUAUCAAUGUUGCAUUUGAGUGCCGGAACUUCUUUCCUGAUCGCAAUUGCGGAUUAUAUCGAUAAGUCCUCAUGUAAUUGGCAUGGACUUUGGAAUUAUAAGAUGCUUGAUCGGUAGAGCUAACACAUGCAACAUGCGAUAUGUGUGCAUUCAUGAUUUUUCCGAUAACAAAGAAAGGAUUAAUGGUGUGUUUAUUUCAUAGAAAAUGAAUUAUUUCAAAUUUUCUAAAAAUAUAUAUAUCUUAAAUAUUUUCCAAAAAAUGAAUUUACGAAAAAUAGAUUGGCCAUCCAUGAAGAUAUUUAGAUAUAAUUAUUGUCAAUGAUGGAAAAUUUUUCAUUAAUUAAUUAUUUCAAGUGGUAUAAAUAAUCAUUUUUAAAAAAAUAAUGUUUUGUGAAACAAAGGCACUCGAUUGCGAAAUUGAUGCGCUGGGUGGGUUUCUUUUUCUUCCCGCCGCGAUCACGUGGUGGACAAAAGAAGUGCCAGGAAAAUGGAGUGCCAUUCCCACUCCGUUGUCAUAGCCCCGAAGACACGCCAUCCGAGAUGACCAAUUUUUCCAGGGUCCCAUGAUUGCGCACGUACCGUAGAUUACAAACUGGACACGCCCGCGUAUACCAAUUCGUACGUAUUUAAGUACGCAUAAUUACAUGAGAAAGGGCCAAAAGUUCUGUAAUCGGACCAUAUCUCUAUACGUAUAAUUACGAGCGGGAUUAAAGUUCAAUCGUGAAACUCUUGUGAGUCCGUCCGUGAAAUUACGAGGUUGGCUUAUACGUGUUCCUCUGUAUUCCCCAAACGUUUGUCUAGUUCUAAUAUUUGGCAUGUCAACGUGAAUUUUAAAACAUAAUAAUUUUUUUGUUUAGUCGAUUCGUGUAUUGAAAUAUAAGACGGCAUGGGCUCAGUGAUGUGUAGAUUUUUAAUAGGGUCGCGCAUUUCGACAAAUUGAAUUCUAAUUAUUCGUGUUUUCAUGGACAGCCAUGUCACGCUAGCUCUAAUUGGCCCGAAAGUCUUUCUUAUCGAAUUCAAGUGUCUUAGCUAAUGAGGGUGGCUAAUCUUUGAUUGGAGUUCAGAGGUUGACUGAACUUAGACGAUAACUCACCUUAAUUUCGGGCGAUGCCCAAGAAAAGGACAUAAUUUGUAGAAUUAUAACUAAGACUUCCAUAGAAAUAAAGUUAAGAUGGUGAUGAAAUACAUUUGUCUUUUUUAACAAACGAACUCAACUAACUUAGUCUAUUAUUUUUCAAAGUAUUUAAAAAUUGUCACGUCGGAUUUUUCUGAUACUUCAAUUAGACACUGUUAAUAGAAGUAUCUUUGAUGGCACUCUAAGAGGUUGACUAAACUUGGACAACAACUCACCUUAAUUGCUGGCAAUACCAAAAUAGGAGCACUAUUGCGUAGAAUUAUAACUAAGACUUCCAUAGAAAGAAAGUUGAGAUUGGGACAAAAUACAUUUAUCGUUUUUAAUAAUCGCUCGACUAACUUGUUUCCAUCAUUUUCCAAAGUAACCAUCACGUUAUAUCUUUAAUUAGACAUGGUAUCUUUGAUUGGAAUUUGAGAGGUUGACUAAACUUAGACGAUUGCUCACCUUAAUCGAGGGCAUACCAAAAUAGACACAAUUGUGUAGAAUUACAACUAAGACUUCCAUAAAAAUAAGUUAAGAUUAAGAUGGAAUACAUCUAUCGUUUUAAUAAUCACUCAACUAACUUGUUUCCAUUAUCUUCCAAAGUAACCGUCACGUUAUAUUUUGUUGGUUGCUCAACUUAGACAAGGUUAAUAGAAGUUUGGUUUCUUAUUACAAAACAAUCAACACUGGUAUACUUAUGUCAAAUUUACUUCAAUUAGUUCCUGUUAAAUUUUGCUAUCAAAUUACUGAGUUUGAUGACACGUGACGAUUGACUUGUGUACUAGUAAUUUGAAAAUUUAUGCUCCUUUUAUUAUAGAUGUAUCAGCCUACGAUUUUUGUUACAUUAAUUAUUUUAAAUGAUAUAAGUGAUUAUUUUUAGGAUUAUAUUUUCUAAAUGAUCUAUUUUCACCUUGGAUGGGUUUUUGUGGUACGACCAAACAUGUUGUGGAGCAUGGGGUGCCAUUCGCACUCCGUUGUCAUAGCCCAGAAGACACGCAAUCUGAGAUCAAUUUUUCAAGAGAAUCCUGAGAUUGCGCAUGGAUCGUAGAUUACCACUAGACAUAUCCACGUAUAACAACUUGUACGCAUUUAAAUACGUAUAAUUACAUGAAAAGGGCCAACAGUUCUGUAAUUGGAUUAUGUUUUUAUACGUAUAAUUACCAGCUGCAAUCAAUAAAUUUUUGUGAGUCCAUUUGUGUAUUUACAAGUUGGGGUAAUAACAAUAAGGGUGUCCCAUAACUUAUUUUUCGCUUACUUAAGGGUCAUAAUUUUGAAAAUUGAUUACUUGAGUACCGUUAACGAUUUGUCUUGCUGGAAAAUCUAACAUGGACGCCAGUCAUAUUACAUGACUUCACUAGCACUAAUGUGGACAAAUUUGUUUUAAUAUUUUUAAUUUUUUGAAUUUUGUAUUUCUUUUUUUGGGGGCCAGGGCAAGGCCACGAAGGCUACUAGCCCUAGACGAGGUAGCCUCCCCCAUGGCUAGCGAGGUCAUGAUGCCCUUGCUCAGGGCCUUCGCGGCCACACCCAGAUUGGGGGAGGGUUUUGCGGCUGAUGAGAAUCGCCGAUGACCCUACAUGCCAUUAAAAAAAAAAGACAAAAAAAGCAAAAGAAAAUUAAAAAAUCAAAAUGAAUUCAAAAAAUCAACAUAGGAUGAUUUACUAGAGUUAGCAGUCAAAUGAUCAAUUUUAUUCCGAUAUCACACUUAAGUGAAUGAAAAAAAAAUUGUGACACUUAAGUGAGUACCGUAUGAAAGUUAUGGUACUCCAGCCGUCAUUCUCCCGUACAAGUUUGGUUUAUACGUGUUUUGAGGUAAUCCCAAAAUUUUGUCUAAUUUAAUAUUUACCAUGUCACCAUUAAAUUAAUAAUAUAAUAGAUAUUUUGUUGACUCGAUUUUUUUAUUGAAUUCUAAGAUGAGAUGUGCGCGUGUGUGUGUUUUUUUUUUUAUGACCUAGGAACCUCGUACAGCUAGCAGUUGGCCGAGCAAACUUGGGGGACGCUAGCAUAGGACUUACCACCCCGAUAUCCCGGGUAAGACACCAAGCACCUCCACUGGGUUUCGAACCCCUCACCUUUGGGUAAGGAUCAAGGAAGCUCUUAUUCAGCGGAGCCACCACGGCCAAUGGUGAUGAGAUGUGUGUGUUGAUGUGCAAACUUUAAUAGAUUUAGGAUGCUCGAUGAGUUGGAUUUUAGUUAUUCGUGUUUUCUUGCACAAUCAUGUUAUAAUAGUUAUAGUUGGGCUAGGAAUUUUUCUUAUCAUAUAAUAAUGCCCUUAUUGAUGAUGAUCUAUGAAGCACCGAUACAUUUCAGGAGCCUUCUUGUUAUGUUAAAUACUUCAACAUGUAUUCGACACUCUCCACUACUCAAUCAAUAGAAAACCUGAUCAACUCUCCAAACACUCUCAAAGUUUGAAAUUCCGAAAUGUGAUUCCAACACACACUUAAUAAUUUUAAAAAAAUUCAGUAAAUGAUGAAUCAAAAUGUAAAUAUGUAAAAAAAAAAAUGAAAAAAAAUGAAAAUAAUAAAGAGGAAAAGAAGAAAAACUUAAUCUUCUCUUCUCUUCGGCUCUCACUUCUUCUGACACACAAUUCACUCCCAAUAUUUAUUUUUUCUCUUCUCUUCCGACAUGUUUUAAUGCACAAGUCCAAAAUGUGGAUCACUUUUUUUUUUCCCUCCAAGCUGGAUUGAUUAUUGGAAUGGAGCUGAAUUUAUCAAAUUGAAAUAAUAAAUAAUAUUAACAAAUAGUGGAUUGAUGUUUUUAGUGUAAAUUCAUUUUAGGUUCUUUUUUAUUAUUUAUUUAUUUAUGGAUUUGAAUCAAAUUAAUUUGAUUGAAAUAAUUAUAAAAAUGAUAAUUUGUUAUGUAUAUAUAAAAAUGUAUAUUUAAUAUACAUUGUAUCCCAACGUGUCGGAAUUCUCUAUUUUUUGAGAAACAAUGUAUCAACGUAUUGUGUUGUAUCGUGUCGAUGCCACUUUUUUUUUUUUUUUGGUCGAUCACUUAGAUAAUGAUAACCUAUCUUUAAUUGGAUUUAAGAGGUUGACUAAGCUUGACUUCCACCUUAAUUGUGGGAAAUGCCUAAAAAGGAACUUAAUCAUGUAGAAUUAUAAUUAAGACUUCCAUAAAGAUGAAGUUAAGAUUGUGACUAAAUACAUUUAUCUGUUUUAAUUAACCUUAGUUAACUUAGUCUAUUAUCUUCCAAAAUAAAUAAAAAUCAUCACUUCAGAUUUUUACGUUACUUAAAUUAUACCAAAUUAAUAAAAGCAUUCGAAACUACAAUUUUGAACAAAAAUUUGAAUUUAUUGCACUUAUGCGAAAGUUUUAAAAUUUAUAAUGGAUUUUCCCGAGAAGUGUUAGAAUUCUCAACGGGCUUAUUCUAUUCCUCCCUAAGAGAGAGAAAAAAAGAAGAACAGAAAUUACACUUUUUUGUCCCUGUUAAAAAUUUCCAUUUCAUUUUUCCUUUUUUUAAGGAAAAAAAUAAUUCCUAAGAUCACUCCCUCGUGCCUUCUACUUUCCCUAACCUUGGACGCUCAGAAAACCGCCGGAGGAUCAAGAACGUAAGAGCUCUGAUGUCCCAAAGCAGCCGCCGCGACAAGUGACGGCAGCUCUCGCGAUUCAAGGAAAAGGGGGAACAGCAAUGGCUGCCGCUCUCGUCGGCAAGAACCCGACCCACCGAACCCUAGACCUGCUGCGGCAAUCGUUCGGCUUCCUCAGAAACUUCAGCGCCGCCGCUUCGCCGCCGCCGCCUUCUCCGGCGAGCGGCGCUUCUCCUCCCGCUUCUUCGAAGAAGCCGAAGCGGAAGAAGAAGAAGAACCUGUUCGAGGUGGCUCAGUUCCUUCCCAACUGGGGCAUCGGGUACCACAUGGCCAAGACUCACUGGGCCGGCGUCUCCUACCAGAUCACCAAGAUCAAUCUCUACAAGGUGGGGCUCUUCGAUUUGCUUGGGGGGGGGGGGGGGAGGGGAGGGGUUUAGAAUUUUUGGAUAUAUUGCUGAGUUGGUGAUUGAUUCGUCCUUUUCUGAGGGUUUAGGGUUUAUGUGAUGUGUUUUGGGCAGGAUGGGAGGCAUGGCAAGGCGUGGGGCGUCGUUCACAAAGAAGGUCAGUUCUGAAUUACAUCCUUGCGAUUUGCGAUUUAUACUUCACUGGGUGGAUGAUGAUUGAAUACUCUAGAAGCUAUAUGGGAAGGAGUGAUUUGACUUGAGCAGAAAAUGCAAUGCGGAAUAACUUCGUUGCAGCGCAGGCCUGUUAGUUCGAAAUUCCGAGCAGCGUUGAACCCUUUUUCGUGCGCAUUUUCUUUGUUUGCUUUCGUGUUCCUCUCUGUGAUUGUUUAAGCAUUUGCAGAGGUGACAUUUUUCCACAGCUUCUAUUAGUUUCUAUGGCUUAUCGGUGACAGGAUUUAUCAUAAAUCACGAGGCUGGGGGAAUCUAAUUUACUCUAUCAACCAAAGAAAAUAUCUAUCAGUGGUGCCUUAGACAGAAUUGCUAUGAUGCCCAUCAUAGUUUGACAUUUCCACCUAGGAGCUGCUUUGCUGUAUUUUGAUAGGAAACUUUGAAUCUCCUAAUACCUUCAUUGGCCUAGUUUUUGAAGGAAAAACCUGUCUAAGACCAUUCCUUGUUCAAGGAGAGCUUCUUUGACUUCCGAAGUGAUGAGCCAAUGGCACUUGAAAAGAUGUCAGCAAGAUUAUGCUAUAUUGUGGAGUUCUUUCGUGUAAUCUUAUCGACUUCAUUGACUUUAUGAAGGAACGACAUGAUUGAAUUCGGAGACAUAGAACGUGGGCAUUGUAUAAGUCAUUAACUCAUCCCCCAUGUAAGGAGGGGGAGACUCUGGGACAGGAAAGAAAGAUGCGGGGUUGCCACUAUUGAGGUUGCUCCUUGAAAGGAGUUUGCAUUUUUUGCUGUUGUUUUAUGCACGUGUUCUGUUAGGGUUGGUUGAUCCCUGAAGAAUCUUCCCGUAUGUGAUCUCUAUGUACUGGAAACUUGUUAGAAAUUCGCUUCUCUCGUUUAGUGUACUUGUCGAGCAACGAUAACUGCUGAAAGCUUCUCUCGCGAUUCCUCCUUCUCUUAGAACUUUUUUUUGUCUGAUUUGAUGUUUGGGGUUUACUUAACAUUCUUGUUGCUUCACUCAGGGUUGCCACCUGCCGAUGCUCCGAAGAAAAUAGGUGGCGUUCACAAGCGCUGUUGGAGGUAUAUUCCUAAUCUGGGAAGUGCAUCUAGUAGCCUACCAAGUUCGACAAAGCCAACGGAAACUCCACAAGCUGAAGCUCAAGCUGCUUGACAUUUGUUUGUUUAGAUUUUCACUGAAAUGAAAGCUUGGAGGAGUCUUUGGGCUUCGAACUUUAGUGUAUUUGAUGAGUUCUUGGUGACGAUAGUCAAGAUUAGCACCUCUAUUCCUGCCAAGAACUUUCACCAAUUAUGUGAUGAUUUUUCUCACAUCCCAUCUGGUGUGGGCCUUGAAUUGGAGAAGUAGGUGGGUGUUAACAAAUGCAGAUGGAAACAUUCCAUUUAGAUAAUAAUUUGACUGCCUACUAAGGAGAGUCAUGGCCAGUGCACAUGUGAGUUGGUGCUGCCAUCGCCACUGGUAACAUAUGUGAGGUUUUUUCGCUCCAUUGGUGGGCUAUACAACGGCAUGGUGAUUUGCAGAGGAAUAACUUCCUGUCGUGAGGUCUCGAGAUCCAAAAUGUUAGAUCAUCUUUCUUGAAGUCUCCUCGUUUGAAGAAGGGGAUUACUAAGCCAUAGCACCUGAGGUUCUUAAAGAUAGUGUUCGAGGUAGAGAACAAUGUGGAAGCUAUAGAUAGUUACUCAUAUUGUUCGCACUUUGUGAGCUGCACCAUAUUUGUCUGCUAGAACGUGAGAAAUCUGACAUGGUAUCUGCUUAUAUAAAAAUAUUCAGGAUCUGGUUCCGACAUGAACCUAAGUGCCCCUACCAAUAUCUGGAUGGCGGUCUAUGAGAGCUCCGAUGCGUGAUGUGCUGAACAUGAAUGCUGUUUUGACAAAAACGGACUUACCUACUUUAUUAGGGAGUCCUGGAACGAAUUCUGUGAACGUUUUUUGGGUAGGAGAUGAACAUGAACAGCACUCAUGCCGAAGGCCUGUCUGUCAACGAGCCUAAUCGUGUGACAUGCCUGAUUUGAUUUUCACUCAUGAGACGAGAUUCCCUUAAACGGUCAGCACCGCACUGAUUACCCUCAUUGUAUGCAAGUGGAACUGCCGAAAUACAAUGAUUCCUAAUAAGAGAAGAGCCUGAUGGUUCAAUCAGUGUCCCGGCAAAAUUGAGAGAAUUACCAUAAGGUAAAAACCAUCACGAAACCAGGGAAAACUUAAUGAAAAUCAAUAGAGUUGACCAAUGUAUAACCGUAGUGAAUAACUGUGUUUUUCUUCACCAAACGUAAGAGGAACAAGACGAAUUGAUGGAUGGAAGCAAGGGUCCCUGAGUUUAUUGCCUUCCGAUGUUUUCGUGUCAUGCUAGGUGUGGCAUCGUCAACAUCUGAAAUGUAGGAUUAUCUAUAUUCAACACAAUCUGACACGAUCAUGAACAUAGAUAUUUGAUAAAUUUAUAGGUGACAUGAACCGGCACAGAUUCAAAAUAGAUCAAGCUCUUAGCAUGUUGAGCAAAUAUAAUAACGUUUUACGAUGAUAUAUUCAAAUUUAACACAUAAAUGCAGAUCACAAGGCCUCAAUAGUUAAAGUUUGGAGCUUGGAAUGUAAAGCUCUAUGAUGGGACGAGGUAUUAGUUUGAGUACUAUUUCAUGUGUGGUAUUAAUGUCAUAACAUUAACAAACAACAUCAAGUGUUAUGAUCAUUGCACAAAAUACUUGCUUGAGGGAAAAUAGACAAAGCCAUUAUAUGGUAUUAUUGAAGAGCAGCGAUAGAUCCACCAUAUGGAAAGACUCGUUCUAUAAUCUUUAAAGCACCAUUCCAAAUGAAUCUCCCACCAUCAAUAACUGAUUUACGAAGAGCAUACUCUGCAGUUUUUGGAGUUACACUUAAGGGAAAUAAUGAUGAUCGGCAUCACAGCUAUCUUCAGCCCGUGUUAUUAUUGAUAUACCAUCUUUCAGCCUUUCCCAUCUUCAGUACCAGAAGUAUUAGGUAUAUUACACCUCUACAAGCAUCAGAAAAAUCUUAUCUUAUAAAGCAAAGGAAGCUGAGUAUGUGGCAAUUCUGUUGGCAUCCAUGCUCAGACUGCAGAGCUCAUGGUAACCCCGUUUAAGAGAUUGUAUUGCUCUCCCCUGCCCUUGCUUUCCUUGUCUUUAGUACUCAAUGGUAGGGAUGGUGAAUAUGCAGCUGCCAUUGAUCUAUCGGGCAUUUCUGUGACAAAGAAACCGCAACAGAUUACUAGAGCAUUCCAUAAAAGGUAGCCACGUUUGUUAUGCAAGUUUCAGAAAGACUAGCAUGUGAUUCAUAUUCAUCAACUCCAUGAAUAAGUAUCACCAAUCAGUAAUAGAUCCAUGUUACAGUGAAAAUUGCAUGUAUAAUCAAUAACCUACCUGGCAAUUUCCUGUCAAUACAAAACACAACCAGAUUCACAGUAUACCUGCAUUGCAAAUAGACAACUCUCAGUCCAUAUUUCGGCUAGUUUCCUGAAAAAAAUCCACAUAGAAUUGUUAUUACCAUGCAACAACAAUGUCCACCGUAUAAUGCUUGCGAGAUGCUAUAAUUAGCAGGCUCUGAACCACCGCAAGUAACCAAGCAAAUUGCUUGAUAAACCUACAAGCAAACAUAAGCACAUCAACAACAAAGAAAGGAGCAAUCAUGAAAAUAAGACCACCCGUUAAGCCUGAUGACAAGUCUUUUUUCAACUACAGCAAUUACUGGCCAGGGAAAAGGACUAUUUUGCUUGAGAAAUCACAUGCAUUUUGCAAUGGACUACCUCUUUGUGCCAUGCUUCUGAUAUGUGUUGACAAACACUAAUGUAAAGAUCAUGUGUGAUGAAAAAAUCAAGUCACCGCAACCAUAGAGAAUUCCUCGUGGAACUGCAGGCAAAAAAGAAUCACAUCAGCAUCAAAGCGUAUAAUGUCAAUGUGAGGAAGUAUAUUUAUAUAUUACUUUUUAACACUCACAGUUUAAAAAGACCACUUCAAGCACACUUUUUGGAGGUGGUAACGUGGCAAGUUCUGAACCCUGAAGAAACGAAUCCAUUUUAUUGCAAUCACGAGGAAAGAAAUUGCUAGGAACCAGUAGUAACAAUUCCAAGUAUCAAAUAGAAAGAUCAGAGAAUAUUACUGUAUCCUACCUCACGGCAAUGGUAGUUUGGACCGGGUAACUGAGUUGAAUAGAAUGUAACAAUCCGGAGAACUUGAGAAGCCUAGAAAAUCAAGGUGAACCUAAAGAAAUUGUUAAGCAGACAUAGAAGGAUACUAUAUUAUCCUUGAAUCAUACCAUCAGCGAUGCAAGGAUGCAAGUUAAAAUAUAUACAAAUAAGACAGCAACUCAACCUGCAACAGAGGUAUCAUAGGCAACUGUCUACUACGAACCCGAUUGGAUCAUUCUAUUCACAGGUCAUAAGCAGGGGAUGAGUGGAUUUACACAAUGACAUGGUGAUGGGGCACUUGCCACUAUGCCAUUCUAAGGUAUAUUAUCAGGAUGGCUGAAUAUAGGCACGGACCAUCAAAGAGGAAGCGUGGGACACACUAAAGUCUAAACCAUCCCCCUUUCACUAAUUGCCAUUUUACAGCAUCCCAAGAAAUCUAUUACAAUGUGAAUGAUGACAAGGAAAUAAUUAAUGAGUAGAACCUACCUAAGAGUAACUUCACUAGAAAGUCCAUUCUUCAUGUCCAAGUCACUUAAAAUGGCACUUUGGAAGAUGAAAGAAGCAGCUAAUGCUUUUCCAAACAUAUUCCUAAUCAACCCGACAGACAUCAGCACUCAAACAAGCAGAAGCAAGUCCCCUUGAAUGAGGUGCACUUGCUAAGCGUGAGGGUAUCAGUAGGAAAAAAAUGUAUGAAAGCAAAGAAGACUUAAAGUGGUGAAUCAACUCAUCAAUAUAAAAAAGAAAAAGAAAAAUUGAAUGUAGUUGUGCAAUUUCAGAUCAGAUAUUGCCAUAACUUUUUUUUUGGCCAAAAUAUAUCCCCAUAGAUUAAGUGAUCAACUUUUUCCUUUUUCUUUUUAUAUGCUGGAAAGAAAAAAGUUGGCUAUGCAUGGAAAGGUUCACUGAAAAUUGGAAUAACAAGAUUCAGCAUGUAAAAUUUCUUGCCUACAGCAAUUUUCCAUUAAGUGACCGUUCCCCAGAAGAAUCAGUAUCAAAAGUUGCAAUAGAAACCCUGAAGCCUGGGGAUUCAUUCACAAACUUGCAUAACUAUUAAAACAAAAUGAAGCUACAUAAGUUUCAGAAACAUAGGGUUCACUUACAACUAAAUAAGCAAGAACCCUGCACCAUAUCAGGACUGUAUAAAUUUUUUUGUUCUGGAAUAUGAAUGGGUGAAAAGUCCACUGCAACAGAAAAAGGUUUCUGUUAGUCAAAAACUAGAGUAAAGAAACUGCUAGAGAAAAAAGGAUUAUUAACAUGAAAUAGAAAUGACAUAAGUUGUCGCACUUAAUGCUUGGAAAAUAAGUAACAACAACAACAGUUGAGUAUAAUCAUGUCAUAUAACAGAAAAUAGUCACAACAACAGUGAAGUUUUACAAUAAUGUCAUGUAACAAAUAAUGGUAUAUGACCAUGAUGGUUGAGUAAGGGAAACAUAUAAGUUUUCUACCAAAGCCUUAGACAAGGGAGGAACUUAUGCGGCACAUGUGUGACCUCAGAGUGUCUUAUUCUUUCGCCCAUUACUACAGCCAAUGGAGUUUACCUAUAAAUGAUGCCUUUCAUUUCCUCAUACAAAUAAAAAAACCAGCCUUUGGGACAUUAUCUAACUUAAAUUAUGAAAAAGAGAUUCUGCAAUAAAUGUAGAAUUAGUACCAGAAAAUUAAAGUGAUAUUAAAACACAUCCUCAAGGAUAUAAGUGAAGGUAGAUACAGGAAAAUCUUAAGUUGCAAUUUCAGAUUUAUUUGUCAACCAAUGAAAAUUUUUUUAUAAGAAUUCUCAGGAGCUCAUUGAUUACUUUGCACAGAUCUACAUUUGAUUCAAGGAAAAAAGAACAUCCGUCUAAAUUAAGUUUGUAAAAGCCCAGAUGCACAAUAACUUCUUGGGUUAAAUGAAAAGCCACGCAGAUGCCACCUAUAACAGGAUCACUGUGUCUAAUCAUAGCAGGCACUUGUGAGAGUAUAUCUAAAGUAGGAUUAUGAUAGUUUUCUGAUCACCAAAAGUGAGGAGAACUUAUUUCUAACUUCUAGAUGAUAUGGAAUGAUAGAACUGCAAUCAGGAGAUAUGAUUUCUCCAAGCUUAAAAAACUUUAAAAUCUCACCAAAGCAAACGAACAGAAGACAGAGGCAAACAAAGCCUCACUGAUAGAACCUUUUUCUCGACCAAGUUCCUACAAUAUCAUGAAAUGAGAAACAAUCAGAACAAAUAAACUUUUUCCAAAGACUGCAGUCUAGAUCCGAAUGGAAAAAGUAUGCUUACAGGAAUAAGAAGAAAACCAAUGUCCUGAAGUAUUGGGCCUGGACGAUGCAAGUAGUGGACCCCUCUGGCAGCCAAUCCAUGAAUGUACUGUCGAUUAUGGCACAACAAUCCAGCAUCAUUCAUGCGAUUCCCAAAAAACCAUUUUUUUAAUAAAAAGAUACAAGUGCAUACAGUCACUUAAGACACUCUCUUAUUCCAUACACAAAAAUACUUUCGUGAAACAAUCAAAGAAAUAUAGUUUCCCAAAUGAAUAGCAGAGGACGUAGAAAUAUUACCAAAGCAACUAUUAAAAAAAUCAUACCCCUUACGCUUCACUUAGUCCAUCACUUUCCAAGCAUACCAGAACUGACAAAUCACCAAAAUACAGCGGACUGGAGAACAGAGAUAUUGACAGUGGAUGCCAGUGACUCAUAUCUUAGACACAAACGAACAAAUUUGGCUGAUAUUGAUAUAUACAAUCGGGUGCAUCACAACGAAUUACCACAAACUUUUCAUUUUCCUGAUCACCUAAAACCAAUAUAACUGUUUGAACCAGUAAGCACAGACCUAUCAAGCUUUAAUUUAGUAAAUAAGCAUAGCAGCACAGAACACCCGCAAAGCAGCAGUCGAAUAAUCAAAGGAAGGAGCAAAAGCAAAAACAUCAAACCAUCAUUUAUUCGAACCUCAUCUAUCAGUAUGUCGCACUUAAGUCGACGUUGAUUUUCGAACAAGACAUAACCACGACUCUCUCAGGACAAAGGACAGGAGGCAAAACCUGGAAAACAACUCCACCAAGAAGGUACUUCCAGCUCUCGGCAAGCAGCGGAAUCUCUACCGUCACCUCCCCGCAAAUCUUCCUCCACAACUUCACGCCGAGAAAACGAGGAACGCUCAAAAACACGGAGCAGAGCAGACCUAAGGAAAAAGUGUAUCCUACGGGAAUCGAAAAUCGAGAAUCCAGGCAGGUACCUUAGAAGCCCCGCGGCGCACAUAGAGCGGCAUUCUUCAGCGGCGGCGAGGCUAGAGCUCGACAUCGAUCAUCGUCAAAACCUCGAUCCGUCGUCGUGAUCCCCGAGCGCCCUCGGAAACCGCCGGGACAUCGCAGACCGGCGGAUCGCGAUCGACGAUCGAGUCGGAGCCGCCCGGACGCCUUCAGUUUCCGAUCAAAAACCCCGGAUUCGCGAUCGAAGGGAAGCGCCGGCCGAGAGGGAAGUGUGGGGUGGGCGGUAGGGGGUUUGACCGGAAGGGCGGAGGAGAUUCUAGAGAGCGAUAUUUUCUUUUUCUGCUUUCGGUUGCGCGGAAAGCUGCUUUUGAAAAGAGCUGAAAACGUCGCCGGACGAAGAUGACGCGACGGGGAGAAGAAGAAAGCGAGAGGAAGAGAGAGAAAGAGGGAGGAGAGAGAGGGAGCAGUUAUUAUCAUUUUCACGAUGCGGCUUGACUUCUCACGACGGCGACGACGACGGCGACGCGCGAGGGGCGAUUAUCCGAUGCUUCGCGACCCCCCCGAUCGGCGCUUGACGUCGCCGUUUAUCAGCCGCGAGAUUGGAUGCCGUCUGUUUCGUCCGGGUUGUUUCGCGCAUCUUCCCCGGGGAAUCGUAAGCCCCCUCGAAAGUUCCGAGUGGGCCCCUCGCGUGGGGCCGGCAUCGCUCGGAUUUUUUAGGGUCCUGAUGUGUUUGGUGGGCCGCCCGCCCCGAGCGAGACCGCGAGAGCUGUGCACCGCACAUUAGUUUUUGUUAAUCCAAACCUUAAUAUUAUUCGAAGUGGGAACGGAUGUUGAAAUCAGCUGACUUUCGGGAGAAUUAAGAAUUAGGGUCUAGCCGCUUAAAAGUCAGGUUCCGGAUUUUAAAAUCUGAAACCUAAACCAACCCUGUCGGGACCUUGAACCGGACCAAAAUUGAUCAAAUAGGAUUGAUCCGGUUCGAUUCCAAAAUCUACCUUGAAUCAAAUGCUCACCCCCAAAUUAAGUGUCUUCGUCAAGGGUAAGCUAUUUCAGUUUACCACAUACUUAUUCACGAGAAUUACUUGUCAAACAUGCAAUCGAUGCGAGAUUCGAAAGCACCCGCCAUCCUGACUGUCGAGACACCGCACAUUUUCAUAUCAUCUUUCAACCGAAGAGACCGGCGACCAGACCCCCAAAGUAUGGCGAUGUAGCGAAGAGAUUCACUAGGAAAUAUGCACACUUACGUUAUGGAGUGAAGUAAAAUAGGAACAGUUCUAUGACUACAGAUGACAUCGAUACUAUUGCUAGAACAAGGCGAGAGAAGAAUUCUUCGAAGAAGGUCCCUGUUAUUGUCCCUGAAACAAACAUCUCCAGGAUUUAUCUUUGCUUAAGGUUUUUGCCUAUAUAAAGAAGUCCCGACCAGGCUUAGAAGGCUGACUAUACUCCCGUAUAUUCUGUAGCUGCGACGGCGUCUGCGAGGAUUGCGCUAAACUCUCCCGGCAGGAGAAAGAGGAGGAUAAGUGACAUACUUUGCGGAAGCGUCUCGUACGAUGUGAUUAGGAGGCCGAGUGCCGCCCUCGCAGGUCGACGUAGUUUUGCUAAGCGGCUUUUCUUCGGCUGCAUUAUGCAUUUCUGAGCGCUCAAUCAGUUUUCUACUGUCUAAGACCGCAAUGCAUAUGGAGAAGGCUUGUAACACCGAGAGAGACGAACUAAACUCGACCGAGAAUAUGUUAUCCUUGAACGGAGCCAAAAUAAAGGCAGGCUGGUUUUCCUGUGUAUCCACCUGCAAAUAGGGAUUGAUCAUAAAGCAAAGUCAAUAAUUUGAUUUUACAAGCAAGACGGAUGAAUAUGAUCAGCAAAGGCCUAUACAGAAAGAGUACCUGAGACUGAGAGAAAAGGGCAAAUUGGUCAGACGAGUUUGAUGAACUCGAGUUCUUGCAAAGAUGACCAUGAGUGCCCAAUAUCUUAAGUUCACAACCCAUGUCCCAACCUCCACAAUCACAAGAGCCACCUGACUUCCACCUUUCGAUGAGUGAUGAAGGUCCUCCAUUACUUGGUAGACUAUGGACACCGCUUGGAAGUAUCACCGUUGCGCCCAUAGGCACUUCAUUCAUGAGGGGAUUCUGAUCGUCUGGAUUUUCUCCGUUAGUAGAAUUAGAUAGCCGAUUCUUGAAGGAAACCAUUGAUUCGAGCUCUGAUAAGCCAUCGCGGGUAUUAUUUUCAGGCCCAUCAUGGGCUGAACCUUUUUUCAUAGGCCAUGGGAUCUGUGCAACAAUAGCUGCAAGCUCAUCCUUCGGUUGGAAUUCUGUUGUUUGUUGAUCUUGCUGUCUAGUGUCCACAGCAAGCAAUACAUACUCCAGAGAUCCAUACCGAUCUGUAGAAAUGCCUGAUUUCGACUUUAAGAAGCAGAACCCAGAAACCUUCAUCUGAGCAACGACAUUAGGGAUGUAACCCUGACCUUUGCCCUUAUUUCCUUGACUAAUCCAAGUCCCGCUCUUUUUUCUGGCUUCACGAAUUGUGAAAAACGUAUACAUCCAGCUGGAUUUAUCAGCUUGCAGGGAACUGCAUUCCUUCAUUGUGGCUGCAAGAAUAUCACUGUCAUUGUUGACAGCAAAUGAGAGCAAAGGAAGGCCAUUUUUAUAUGCAACCCGGAGAAGAGCUUGCACUGGCAAUGAUCCUUGCCUCUUGUUUGAAUGGGAGUUACGGACAUCAAUUGUUUUGCAACUAGACAAAUCCAACUUCAAUUUUGCUGGUUGUCCAGUCAGAGAAUCUGAUUGACCAUUUAAUGAUGUGAAUUUAUCCUUAGAAACUGAAUGUUCCUGCAAUGGAUCACUGCAGUGAUGGAUAAUUGACGACUUUGGUUUCAGUAUUGGGUCCAGCAACCUUCUCAAAGGGCUGGACCUGGAUCUUCCAGCAGAAUUAGACCUGUCAGUGUGUGAAUUGUCUGAGCAAGCAGAGAAUUCAGCAUUUUCUGGUAUGGAUUUGGCAGAAGCAUGUUUGGCAUCCAAUUUCCUUGAGGUCAAACCCUCUUUUGACCCGGAAUUUUUCACUAUUUUGCCCAUACCGAUGCUCAAUCGACGAAAAGGUGAAGUGCUUCUUACCUUCUCAGUUGUCACAUUGCCUACUUUUGGUUCUGAUCCCCUCAAUGCAUCUGAAAGCAUAGGCAUGAUACUUGGAAUUUUCUUCUCUGAAUUUCCUACUCUAGAUGUACAAGAAACUCCAGCUGACUGUUCAGUCUGAUGAGACACAUCUGGCGGAAACUUUGAACUGCCUGCAUCCAUGGAGCUACGCCUUUUCAUUCGUAAUUGGGUGUUACAGUCAAAUUCAAGAGGUGAGGCACAAGUGCAAGAAUGUUGCACGUCCGAAUGGAGUCUUGCAUGAUGAGUUUCCCUGGAUCUUUCCAGAAUACCUCUUCUACUUACCUCUGAUAAUUUCUUGUCGGAGUGUGUUCUUGACUUCACAGGCUUGGGUACUUCAGAAUUAGCACGAUUUGGCGCAUCUUUGGGCACAAGGAGAACCACUCUAUUGGGUCUUUCUGUUAAUUCUGGCUCAAAGACACCAGAGUUCGACUCUUGGGUCUUCUCUAAUCUCUUCACAAAAUCACAUUCUUUAACUUCUGCCUUCUCAGUGGAACAAGAUCCCACCUCAGCGCUUUUGAAGCAUGGCAGAGUUUCAGCUUUCUGAAUGGGCUCAGGCUCCAGCCUGCCCUUUUUAUCCUUCAUCUUUUCCCCUAAAUGGAUCUGAACUGUUCUGUUGACUUCAUGCUGCACCUGCCGGUACUCGUUCUCCUGGACAUCUUUCAGAUCUUUACACGUACUGAGAUUCUCUCUUGAAGGCCUCCCAGAUUGCACAUCCAUAUCUUUGGGAGAAGAUAGCAGCUGAGAUUGAAGUGUGGAGCGGGGUAUUCUCUGGUGUAUAGGGGAGCAACUACGACCUCUGCUGGAAUGGCUGGAUGAUCCCUCCACUGAGAACGAAGAGGAGGUGCUGCUACUAGAGGUGGAAUACCUGCCAUUUCUGGGCGUAGUCUGUUUGUGGCUAUGCUGCCAUUUUUCAAGACGUCGCCAGUCAAGAACUCCAACACUAAAAGCUUUCUCCGGGACAUUUUUCCCCCUCUCAAGAAAAGCUGGCAACUUCGACAUGUACUUAACCAGUUCAUCAUCCUCGGCUGUAUUUCUUCUGGUUCUGGCGCCCUGUUUAUCCUCCAAAGGAUAAGUUGGUUCAUCUUCUACAGCAUUCGUGAUUUCAUGAUUAAAAUCGGCAUAUGACAAAUUAGCAUCUACUUGGAACCUUUCGUGCAGGUUCAUACCGCGAUAAGCAUGAGUCUUCCCAUUUUCUUUCUUGGGUGCUUUCUCAACUCCUAAACUGUUGUUGAGCUCUGAGCAUUCCAUACUUUUAAGGAUUUACUUUUAGCGCCUCAGUCGCAUGCUACCUAUCCCUUUCACCAAGCCACCACUGUAUUUUUCAAUCUUUUAAACCUCAAUGCCCAGAACAACGUAACUCACAAAUGUCUCUGGUGACAUUAACUGCAAACCAUAGGUAGAUUAAACUCAGUAAACUGGGAGUCUACAAUCUGAUAAAUGAUAACAGUAAUAGAACAGAUCAGCAGCUAGCAUAUUAUGUGAGAAAAGGCACAUGACUAUGCAAGUUUAUUGUUUCGUAAAAGAUAUGGCAUUCCAUGCAUGAAACAAACAACUGAAAGUGGCAAAGAAGAUAUCUGACAAGAUAACAAACAAGUGUUCGAGGGAGAGAUAAGGGGCAUAUCCAGAUUCCAGACAUUAUUCAGGCAACGGAGCAGCCAUUCCACAAAGAAAGUAGAUGCAAGUACAAGCAUGCAAUGAAUUCCAAAUAAGAAUAGUUCAGGAACUUUUUCCUCGGAACCGCAAGGAGAUGCGCUGGUGCAUAGCUAGUUAAUUUCUCCAGACUAAACCGAAUUUUCUAUCUCUAACUUUGACCAAACUUCCCAAUAUAUUGGGGUGGAAAUAGAGACUUUGCCAAUUUUCGCUCAACCCAAAGUUGCUUCAUCGAUUUCAACCUACUCAUAAACAGAUUUUGACUAGGAGAAACUGGACAGCUUGACAGAGGGUACGCAGAAUAAAUUGCAGAAAACAGGCAUCUCUUUUGGAGAUCGAAUUCCUCAGUCUAUUAUGACUUUCUUAAUUAUUUGAAAAUCAGAUUGCAAAUCCUAAAGUGGCGCUUGUUCUUCAAACAAAAUCCACAACGUUAGACACUCCGUACCUUAAAUGGUUUGUCACACAACAGAACACCGCCCGGAGACGGCAAAUAUCUAAACCUCGACUUUUGACGACAUUCGCUAAACAACCAUAAUCACAGAUAAAGGCAUCAAUCGAGCACCAGCACUCAAGGAAUCACCAUGACUUUCUCUCUGCUUCAUUUAUAUAUCAAAUCAUCACUUUGCACACACCCUACCCGACCUCGCAAUCGUGGACAUGGAGACCGGAAGUCUCAAUCAGACGUGGGUAUGGGGAGACGAAUGGGAUAGGCGCAAGAUGACAAUUAGCGACAGAGCAUAUACAAGAAAAUGCAACCAAUGAGCCAAGUUGGAACAGCAUGAGCAGAAAUCGGGUGGACCAGGAACACCGACACUUGAAGAGCUUGAGAUAAGGAGGAAACGAGCCGUCGCAAUCGAAGCACGGAGGAGGAUGGUAGAAAAAGGACAAGAUCCACACCCAUCGAAAACAGAAAUGACCCAUUUCAAAAUUCGAAGUCAUUGUGAAAAGAACAAGAGAAACUAGAGAAAGCAGAUAAGGAGAAACAACGAAGUGCCCUGCAGAAAUUCUCAAUCUCGAGUCUCGAGUCCCGAGUCCCGAAGCAGAGUGUGGUUUUAUCGCGAAUUCAAGAAAAAGGGAAAGAAAGAAAGAAAGGAAGAAAGGAAGAAAGGAAAAAAAGAGAGGGGGCAAGCAGUAUACACUGACAGGACCGCACACAGCUCCAGAGAUCACGAGACGGAGAGGCAUUUGCGGAUGACUGAAAAUGCAUUCCACGGUAAGAAGAGGAAGAAAAGAGAGAAAGUACCAUGUCCCAGGAAACGAACGGAAGCUAAACUCGACAUUCCUCGCUCGAGAAAGCGAAGCAGCACCUGCCCGUCAGAGAUUCGGAGCUUCCGGUGGCGAAUGCCGCCGUUAGCGACGGCCACGCCGUCCCGGAGACGAAGCGGGGCGUGUCGGUGGCCGAACAACCGCGCCAACUGCGAAGCUCGCAGACAACCAGAAGCGAGAGAGAGAGAGAGAUGGGGCGUUGAGAACAGUGGGGCAGCAACAGCAGCAGCAGCAGCAGCAGCAGUAGUCCCUCGUAAUCGCCUCGCCUUUUCUGCGCUCCCAAACUCCAAAGCAGGAUCCCGAUGGAAUGUCAAAAAUGACCUAGAAAAAGUUCACACAGGCGCACUGCCUUUUCGGGCGCGACUGUGCGAGAAAGAGAUAGAGAGAGAGAGAGAGAGCUCCCGUGUGCUCGUGUGGCGGAGCUCUUUCAGCCGAGACCGAACCCUCUGUACCUUUGUUUUGUUCUUAUUCGACCCCCAAAAAACGGAAAAAAGAAAAAAAAAGUUUUGUUUUGUUUCGCCCUAUUUUUCUGUCGUGAAUCGCUACGAAAUGCGCCCGUGACAAUUUCUUCUUUAGGAAAAAUCAGAGGCAAACGCACGCGUGAACCCAAAAAAAAUAAUGAUGAUUAGCAAAAUAAAACGAGCGAAAUGGAUGGUUAUUUUCCUCCCUUUUGGCGAGGUAAGAAUGCCUGAUAUUUUGUCCUAUUUUCUCUCGACAUGAUUAGUCAUUUUAGCUUGCUCAAUUUUCUUUUUCUUUUUUUUCGAACUCUAAAACGAUUUUUUCGCAUUAGUGCAUUGCCACGAAAUGGUGAAAAGUUGAUAUCGCCUAUCAACUGCUCCGCUAACUUAUGGAGGUGGCGACGUGAGGAUAGACACCAAAUUUGUAAGUUGGCAUUAUAUGCAAUACUCGUGUACUAUUGUAUAGCGUUCUCAAAAAAUAAACUUAUACAUCAUGAUUUGUUUUUAUUCUUUUGUGCCGGCAUAGCUUGUUUCGUACACAAAGGCAUUUUGUGAAAUCGAUGACAGGUACAUGAAUAAAUAAAUUACUACCAUACUUUUUUUUGUAUUUAAAAUAAAAAGUUAAAUAAACGGCAAUUAGCUUGUCACGCACAGGUUUAUAUUCACACAUAAGAUUUUCCCAUGAACAAGGAGUGCAUAAGUUGAGUUUAUUUAAAGGGCAAAAAAUAUUUAAAAAAAAACUCUGAUCCAUUUAGCUUAAAUUUUUUCUAUGACACUAAAAGUUCCAAACUUGCACUUAUGUAAUGCAUAUUAUCUUAUGUCAAAGUUUUGUCAAUAAAAAUCAUUAAAAAUAUGUCUAUAUAAACAUCAUAAAGCAAAUAAUAUUGAUCCAUUAUUCACGUGAUAAUGACGUUAUUUUAGCUGAAAAAUCACGUAACGAAAUGUUAACGCAGGGUAACACGUCAAUGCAAGGAAAAUUUUAGGUAAAUAUAUCUCGGCAGACAUACUUUAAAGGUUCCUUGCCAUGAAAACUUUAUUUAAUUAAACCCAAGGGCAUUCUAGGAAUAUUCAAGAUCCAAUCGAAAAGUUAAAAAAGAAGGAAAAAGAUCAGAAUCGAAAAGUUAAAAAAAGAAGGAAAAAGAUCAGAAUUAAUAUCAUAUCGGGACGUCACAUCAUGGAGGCGCGGGGGGUAUGUUCCCGGGGGGCCCACAUCGCCAACCUAAUUUGCAGCGUUCUUUUUAUGGGAUGGGAUGGGGCGGGGUGUUAUCAACAAAGACUUUGACGUGAAAAGGUUUUCUCAGUAAUUUUAAUAAUUGCGGUGGUGGGGUCCGAGGUUCUUUUGAUUUGAUGAGGGCUAAGGUGGUGGUGGUGGCAGUGACGGUGGUGGGAUGGGGGCCCCGCUUGAGGGAGGAGAUUUCAUGUGACUUUCUUGCCCAUUUGGUCCGUGUGGUGAUGAUGGGGGAGUUGAGCUGCUGAGUUUGUGAGAUAAAAGAAUAAUGUAAUUAUGUAGCCCAGCGUUAUCAGGUGAUCCUUUUGUCUUUUUUGGUUGUCCGCCUCUCUUUUUCCGCGAAACAUGAAGCAUCGCAUGAUUAAUUAAUAAAAACAAUAUUAUGAUUAUUAUAGAUAUUAAUAUAACAAUUUAAAUAUUAUCGUGAACGAAUUUUUUUCGUAUAUAUACUUAUAAAAAUGACAAUCUUUUAAAAUUAUACGUUUUCCAUAAAAUGAAUAGAUGAAUUUUGUUACCAUCUAUCGCGGUGGCUUAGCUGGGUAGGCGCUAGACUUCCACCGAUGAGGUCUAGUGUUCGAAGCUCCUGCAACGCAAGUUGCAAGAAGGUUAGCUUUGAGCCCUUUGGCGACUUACCCGGUGGCACGUGUGUGGUGGCUAGCACGUGUCGCCCUCAGUGGUUUACCUCCGGCCGUCGGCCGUGCGAGGUUCCCUGGGUCAUAAAAAAAAAAAAAUAGAUGAAUUUUGUUACCAACCCCGUUGGUGGCAAAGAUGGUGGAGUUGCAUGCUGGCCACCUACAAAGCUAGAGUUCAACUCUUCAUCUCGUCAUUUGUGCGACUUGCGGCUUGUGGGAGUUGAGUUCCUGCGGAUCGCCUCGGGUUUACGCCGCCGACUACCGGUUGUACGGCGCUUUUCGGGUCACCAAAAAAAUAAAUAGAUGAAUUUUUUUUUUCUUGAGUCUAUCCAUGAUGAAUAGCUUGAGUCUGUUCAUGACAAUAGACUUAUUUGAAUAAUUUGGAAUCAUUAUUUGUAGGAUCGUUUUUUAAUAAAAAUAUAUUAAAAUCCCCGUGUAAAAAAAUUAUAUUAUAAAUUUAUUAGAUGUUUGAGGUCUAAAAAAUCAAAAUGCGAAAUGAAUUUAUAUUAAGCAAAAUGGUUAAAGUUUAUUCGGAUGGUAGGCAGUUUUUAGUGUGCCAACUUGUCUCUUUUGUGAAUGUUGUGGUAGGCUCAAUAAUUUGCGAAUGCACAGUCAACUAUUUGCUUUUUGGCAGGGUCUUUAGUCCAAUUAUUGACUUGCUGAUAUAGGGAAAGCCUAAUCAUAUGAUCUAGCUUAUGAAAGUUUCACUAAUGGACAUCGGAUUCCAUGGGCACAAAUUAUAUGAAAUUAAAGCAAAUGAAAGAGUCUAAAGUGAGUCCUGAAAAGAGCACACCCAUUUUCUUUUGGAUUAAUAGCCCUUUGCUAGGCUUCUUUUAGACUCGUGAAAAGUAGAAGCAUGCAAAAUGUGUUUCAAAAGUGGCGACCUAAAUUGAAUUGAAAAUAGGAAUGCAAGAUAACACGUUCAAAUCACAACAUCCCUUGCUCAGGGCCAUGUAGAACACGGAUGGAGUUUAAGCUGAUGAAUAUGGAUAUGACAGUUUGCUUGUAAUUGUGGAGAUAAUCAAUAUAAAAAGUCGGAUAUCACAUGUAACAUGAAAAGGGAUUCGAAUACAACAUACUUACAUAAAUCCACACCGAUCUCUUCUAACCCCUUCUUUCCCUUGCCAACUAUUCAUAUAAGAAAUCAUUUUCUACAAUCAUUUCUAACAAUCAUCUCUACCAAACACGGUGUAAUCUCGUCCAAAGCGUCAUAAUAGCCUCAUAUAAAAUAACCCAAGAGCUUCCCCCACGAAAUAAAUGUCUGAAGACUCUUCGAGGGAUCGCCAUGGCCCAUGAAUCCUAUGAAAAAGAUUAAAAAGGAAAUAUAAAAAGAUGCAAGCUUUUGAAACGCGCCCACGAGUACAUCAUGAUAUAAAAAAGCUACUGAUCUUCACUUUCAGUGUUUGAAAAGCCUCAAAAGGGGGAGGGCAAUGGGGGUAAAGGGAAACGUAAGGCGGAAAGGCAUGACCCGGCCAGCACCUGCGCACCAAACAAAAGGAGGCUCGAGCACGAGCAUGUCAUCAUUACAUGGCGGAUCAAAGAAGCACCCGAGUUUUAUUAUUUGCUAAUGAAUGAUUCAUCCACAGAUUCACAUAAUAAAGUUGACCUUGUCACGUGAUAUUGGUAUUUUAUUUGUAUAAGUGAAUUAUUAUUUACCUUUUUCCCCCCUUAACUUGGUCGGUGGCAAAAAGUGUUUUUAAUUCAGAUAUUUUUCUUUCCUUGGUACUUUCCUCCCUUUCAUUUUUAAAUGCGGGUAAAUAUACCUUCCCUAACAUUUGGGAGGGCUGCAUGGUAUUAUUGUUUUGCAAAUUUAGCGGCCCUUGAAAUUCGGGUGUUAGUUCGAGAAAAAACAUUUGACGCUUUUCAAAAAUAUAAAAAAUAUUGACAUAUUUUCGAAUUAAAAAAUAUCUUUUUCAUUUCCGUUAUCGAAGAAUAAAUAUCAGAAACUUACUAAGUAGAUUGUUUUCAGCCUUCAGAACAAACAAUAACAAAAUAAGAAAGCAACUCUAAUAGUGUACUGUGCAAGUCCUGAAAAUUAAAAAGAACAAAUUAGGUGCACCAGAAUUUGUCAUUAGGUGGAGUUUGAGAGGGCUUAUCAAUACAUUGGUUGCACUUUUCACUUGGUUCAUCAGGAAACCUCUCAUUGAGAUCACAAAUAAGGUCUUUUGGUAAAUAGAAAGGUUGUAUUUUCCUCCAUUUCUAAUUUGAGGAAAUUUUCUCUUAUCAUUGAUCUGGCUCCCCCAUAGGCUUGUCUAGGUCCGAAUCCAGUCAUUAAGGCUCAAAGAUUUUUUGUACAAGUUUGGAUAAUGACAUUAGUAAGAAAGCUCGGCAUCACCCGAGUGGGGUCCAAGUCUAGUCUAGUCUAAAGAUUUGUGUAUAACAAUUUCAUCACCGUAGUUUAGGCCCAACCUUAUGGCCUAGCCUAAUUCGACCCACUCAAUCAUGACCCUUAAUGAAUGGAAUUUCUAAAGAAAUUUUACAUCUAGGUAACCCCAAUUUAAUUUUGGAAUAAAUACACUUAAUAUCUCAAAACUUGUCACAAAAAGUGGACUUGAGAUUUAGAAUUUGCUAAAAAUAUAAUUAGUUCAUAAAACUUGUCAAAUUGGUAUAAUCAAUUCAUUUCAUGUAUUCCGUUCAACUUAGCUAACAAAAAAUGCCAACAUGGUUCUUUUUUAUUAUUUUCUCUAUCCUACGUGGCAGUGACGUGGAUAAAAUAACAUUGUUUUGGUACAAAUCUGAUUUAUAUCAAAUUAAAAAAAAUCUAAAUUAAAAGAAGGGGGUUAGAUACUAGGCGACUGAGGGCCGCAAGCCUCGUUGCUGCCAUCGCCCCACCAUCAUUGGGAACCCACCAAAACGACAUCUUUAUAGUCUUAUAAUUCAUAUUUUAGUCACGUUAUUACUGUGUAGGAGAGAGGAAAUAUCAAAAGACUAUACUAGCAUUUUCCGUUAACCAAGUUGAAUUGAGUUAAUUAAAGAACUCAAUUUCAUUAAUUUGACAAGUUUUGGAAGUGAAUUGAAACUUUUUAUAAGCUUUCAAAAACAAUUAUAUAUUUACGAUAAGUCUUAAGAUUUUCGAUACACAUGUCUGUUGAUUUUUUGAGGAUAAGAAAAACCUCUCUCCUCUCUCCUCUCUCUCUCUUCCCUCUCUCUCACACAACGCACAUCCUCAUCCUCCUUUGCCCUCUCUCUAUACACCCUCCUGAAAUUGCAUCGCCACCGCAUCUAAGCCGCCGCCUCCAUCACGCUUGAAUCAUCACAUUGCUGCAAUAUUGAGUUGUCGCCGACACAUUGUACAUGUGAAGAGUACAUAUUGAUGAGGUAUUUGGCUGAUCCAAAUCAUCCUCUCUAUCUCUCUCUAUGUGGGAAACAUUAUCCUAGGAAAAGAAAGGGAAGGUUCAAUCGCAACCAUCCCGUUUAGGAGUUAGAGGUUAGCAUAGGAGUACCACAACGGUUAUUAAAUGUCUAUCUGAGACAUAAUUAGUACUCUGAAACCUUGAUUUAGAGAAGUUUUAAAAGUUGAGAUUUCAGGAAAACACAAACACUUUACGUAGCCUAUUGGUGUGCUAUCAUGCAUAAAGAUCGUCUCAUGAGUGUACUACUAACUUCAAACUUGCAACGAUAGCUGUUUUUGUGAAACUUUAAAUCCCACAUUGAAUGGAUGAAGCCUUAUGAUGCUAUCCACAAGUGAGAUCCGUCUCUACAUGGUCACCAUCUCAUGAUCAUUUAGGAAAAUUUAUUUUAGGGGCGUGACCACAUAGAACGGACUAGGUGGUUACAAAUUGCAUUAGGGCAAGACCACCGACCACCUCUAGGAGAUGCAUGACUCGUGGAAAGACUAGACUCACAUCCGAUAUGAAGUGGGUGUAAGGUGAUUACUAGAGAGCAAGAUGGCUCGAACAAUUUGUGAUUUUUAACAUACUUCUAGAAUGGCAAGGGGCAAGAAAAGACAGUCGUCACACGCUGAAUAGAGGGAGUAUUGCCUGCAAUGCUUUGAAUGAGGGAGGAACUAAGACCCAUAUCGGGUAGGUUAAGUCUUGUAAUAUUAUAAUAGGUUAAGAGCUCUUUCAAAUCAUCUUUACUUUUAUAUAGUUAUCUAGAGUACUCACUUUGAGAGCUCGAUCCACCUAGAUCGGGCUUGAUGAUUAUAGUUUUCGUCGCUAAGCUACCAUGAUCGGAGCUGAUUCUCAAGCUAACGGUCAACGAGCACUCUUUAUGACAUGGUGCCUUUUCGAUAAAAUGUUGAAAUGAAUACUAUUGUCGCGUCAUUCAAAGCAACAUUAGAGUAGAAGUAUAGCGCCAAAAAAAAAAAAAGUUGACUCUGCAGGAACGUGGCACGUUCGCAAUUGGAGAAAGAAAAAACCUGUAGUUAGGAGGCAAAAGCAUUUGCUUUUGAUUUCAAAAGAUAAAGAAAAAGACGAGAUGACAGAAGAAAAAAUGAUCCUUCUCUUUUGGAGGUACCCGAGAAAAAAAAAAGGAUAAUAAAGAGGUAUCGUCGUCCUCAUUUGUCUUUGUUGAUUCGGACAUGUAUAGAAUGUGAACAGCAAGAUAGAACUCUUAUGUAAAGAUAUUAUUGGGGCACCGUUCAUGAUAGGGUCAAUUAUGCAAGGAGUACAAUAAUUGAGACAAUCGGAUCAUCAUCCAUGAUCUGCCCUUGAAUGAUCACUAUCGGCAUCUCUACGCCGGCAAGAGACCUAACAUUGCGAUUCGGAUCAUCGCGAUUCGGUUGCAAAAAGUGGUGAUUAUUUUAAAGGUGGAUAUCGGCUUAUGAAUCACUUAAAAUGACUUUUUCCUUCUAAGGCAAGACUUCAAAUGUCACGAAAUUCCCCUACUCAAGAAAUUAACAUACUUAUUAGUAUUGUAGGCAUUACUCUCCCUAUUCAACACGUGACUCGAUUUAUUUAUAUCCUUUUAACCAUUCUAAAAACCUAUCAAGAGUCGCAUCUUAUUUAAGCUCUCUUACCGUAAUAAUCAUUUCUUGCCCUCAUCGGAUCAUGAUAUAAGUUUAGUGUCUCUUUAAAUUAUAUAUCCAUGAACGGGGAAGAAGAUUGUUUAGCCAUUUUUCUUAAUGAAAAUAAUUUCUUUUACUUUAAAAUAAUUUAUCAUGCUUUAAAAUUUCUAAUGAUAAAAGGUGUCACAUCAACGUGUCACGUUGUCGUCAUUAGCUCAUAAGCUAAGAUCUUUUGGAUUGAGAGCGAUGGCCAUUUUAGUACAAGUAUAUGAUUUUUAUAAAUAAGAACAUAUCCAUUACCAGCAAUCUUUUAUUCUAAUUAUUACUUAUCCUCCAUUCAAUCCAAUGGCGUUUUGACUUGCACUUUAAUUCAUUUGCAAAAUUAAUAAAGCAUAUAUCAUGAAGUUGAAAUUUGCUCAUUAAAGUAAUUUUUUUUUCGUCACGUGUACAUAUACAAAACAUGACCUUUUCGAUAAUUGUCUCUAGGCAUAUUGUUAAGCAUAUUUUAUAAUUCUCAAUUUUAAAGUAAUGAUCUUAUCUAACACAGAUAAUGAACAAAUUCAAAGUUAAUCCUUUUUAAUUUAAUUACUUAAAAAAGCAGACUCUUUCGAGGAGAAUGUCUCGGCGUGUAUUUUCUUCGUUUUACGUGAUUCGCCUUCGUUAUCAUUUUUCCGACGGCAUCCACUUUUGUCAUGUCAUUGUGAUGACCAACAUAUUUUGGAAAGGGGGGGGGGGAGGGAUACAGGGAGUGAGGGACAUAUCAAUUUGUCUUUUACGGCUAAAUCUUGGAAAAAAAAAGAGCAACUUUCCGGCCAGAAUAAAGUGCUGAGACUAUUUUAUUUUUCUGGGUCGAAAGUAUCGUGACUAUUCAAUGGACCUAAAAAAUUCAUAAUUUCUAUUUAUUGAAAGGACAAAAAAGAACACUUUAAUAUUUGAGGAAAAUAACAUAAAUGAUCAUUGCGCUAUAGCCCAAUGUGUGGUGUAGUUUAUGAACUUUUAAUUAAUUCAAUAUGAUCCAUUAACUUUAGCUCAAUAUGCAAUAUAGUUUUCGAAAUUUCAAUUUAUUCAAUAUGGUUCAUAAAUUUUUGGUAUAUGUAUAAUUUAGUCCAAUAUCACAUCACACACUGGAUCAAAGUUCAAGGAUUAUUUGUGUCAUUAUCCUUAAAUUUUUUGGUGCUUUGUACAAUUUUUUGACUAAUACAUAUCGUAUUCAAUUUCAAAUAUAUGACUUGACUAAUGCUCAUUUUUCAUGUAUUAAUCGUGCGAGACAAGUCGUUCAUAUCUUGAGAGGAUAAAAUGUUUAGAACACCUUUAAUUUGGUGAUUUUUCCUCUUGAUUGCCUGUGCAUUCAUAUUUUGUCCACUCACAUGAUUAGGGAUUUAGGAGGAUAGUUGCGCAAUGAGCGUGUGAAAGUGAGGAAAGAAACGUGAGAAAGUGAUAACAGAAUGCAGAAGAAAUAAUCUUACGUAAUAAUUACAGUACGAGAUUGUGAUAGUGUGGUAAAAUUGACCAAUCAUUAUUAUUUAUGUGCUGUGAGUCUAAUAUUUUUUCACUUUGGAUGGACUUGUUAUAUCAUGUACUACCGUCACCAGAGUUGAUAGAUAAUGGCGUGAUUGACACCAAAAACAUCUCUCCCAUAUGCAUGGAAUGGGAAGAAGUAAUGAUAACCAAUCGAAAUUAUCAAUGUUGCCACGAUGGUGCAAUGGGAAAACUGAGGUUUUGUUAAAAUUUAAGAAAAAUAAUCGCUAGCAACUGUUUCAGAUUAAUAAAAGGAUAAUUCGAACAGGAAAUUAGGAUCACGAUUUAGUAGAAAAUGGCCUCUCACAACAGGGAUUAAAAAGCCCAUUGCUAGACCGUCAUUGGCCCACUAGCAUUACUCCUGUUAGCAGAAUGACUAUAUAUUUUUUUUAGGAAUCGAAAAAUUCCUUUAAUCGCCUAAUUUAAUUGGUCGGACGAUAAACAUGAGCCGAGAUUUAUCGUAGAAUCAAUUAAUUCGGAAAAACCGAUUGGAUGAAUUCUUUUUAAUAAAAAAAUGGAGGAAGACAAGGACCAUGGUGAGAGACGAUUCGUUCCGUCGAUGAUUCGGCGGACAUGACCAAUCGUGGUCCGGCCCAUUUCAACUGACCGACGAAAUCCUGGACGAGGCCCGGUCCGCAGUUUCCAGAUCGAUCCGACCGGGUUCGCUAUUUACGGUCGAGACAGGAAAGGCCGCGAAGGUGCGAGAAUGCUCCUGUCUUUCCUAUUUAACCCCCGACUUCUCCUUUCCCAAUCCUCAUCAUCGUCUGCCGAUAGCAGUUCUAGUGUAGUUCAAGCAUUCUCUCCAGCACUUUCUCGGCUUCAGUCUCGCGCGUUCGCCGGUGAUCAUCCCCGACGGCCAUGUCGCUCGUCCCGAGCUGGUUCGGCGGCCGCCGCAGCAACGUCUUCGACCCUUUCUCCCUCGACGUCUGGGACCCCUUCAGGGACUUUCCCUUCCCUUCCUCCUCCCUCACCGCCGCUAACUUCCCCCAGACGUUCCGGGAGAACGCCGCCUUCGUGAACACGAGGAUCGACUGGAAGGAGACCCCGGAGGCCCACGUGUUCCGGGCGGAUCUCCCCGGGCUCAAGAAGGAGGAGGUCAAGGUGGAGAUCGAGGAGGAUCGGGUGCUCCAGAUCAGCGGCGAGCGGAACAUGGAGAAGGAGGACAAGAACGACACCUGGCACCGGAUGGAGAGGAGCAGCGGCAAGUUCAUGAGGAGGUUCAGGCUGCCGGAGAACGCGAGGAUGGAUCAGGUGAAGGCCUCGAUGGAGAACGGGGUGCUGACUGUCACUGUUCCCAAGGUGGAGGAGAAGAAGCCCGAGGUCAAGGCCAUCGAGAUCUCCGGUUGAGAGGUGGUGAAUCUACGGUCGGCGCUGCGACCUGUGUAUACAUAUGCAUAUAGAGUGCCUGUGUGUGCCGUCUGCUGUGUGGCUUUUGCGUGUCCUGAGUUGGGAGUCGCGGUCUAUGGCGAUGUCUGAUAUGGCAAUGUUAAAUAACUACAGUGACUCUCUACUUGUAAUGAGAUCUGAGAUAUUAUGUAAUAUAUAGUAACUUCUACUUUUUGUGAUAUCGGUUCCUCAAAUUCUUUCGGUUUUUUCACCUUUCCAUUUUCCUAUUGCACUGAAUUUGCCUACUACUGCUUUGUUCCAAGGGAGUUCAAUUGGUUCGUUCUUUUUGCAACGAUUAAUUCAAUUUGUUGGAAGGAUUCCUCGGAUGUGCAAGUGCUGUACUCGUUGCGAUCAUUUUUAGAAUUGGGUUUGCGGUACCCACAAAACAUUGUACUCAUGAGCUCGGCGCGAGCUGCAGGGUGUCAGAUAACAGGAGCAGUUAUCCCAACAAGCUUUUCAAUUUCUGCAUGAUCAUCAUCGGAUCAGAGAUCGAGUUCUCUAGUUCUUCUAUUGUAGUGUGUGAACAAGCACCUUUCUUGAUGCUCAAGCUCGACUUACUGUCUUGUCUUUGAAAGCUGUGUCUCUUAGCCUCAUCUCUUUCCCUUCCUCCCCCAUCAACCAUCAGUCUUCCUUGCUGCUUUUGACAUAUUAUAUAUUAAAAAUAUUUUUAUAUAUAAAUACAUAAAUGAAUAAAUAAUAAUAAUAAAAAGAACAUAAAAUUAUUUUAUUUUAAAAAUAUUAAUUCAAUAUUAUUUAUUAUUUUAAUUUGAUAAAUUCAAUUAUAUUCUAUUGCAAUAAUUCAUAAAAUUUGGAAGGAAAAAAAAGUAAGAGAAAAUCUCAAAUAAGAAUACAAAGUUUUGUUCAAAAAAAAAAAAAAAAAAUAAGAAUACAAAGUGAGUUUAUUUUUUCAAAUAAAAUUUUAAAGUGACAUUUGUUCCAAAUAAAGAUCCAAAGUGGCUAACAAGUCUCAAAUAAGGAUCUGAAUUUGUCAUUCGGUGAAAAUGUUUACCGGCUAGCGAGUGUGUGACAUUUUCGGUGGCCGAAAUAUGAGCAAUUUUGUCUAAAAAAAAUAUAGAUAGAAAUUAACAAAUCAUAAAAACAAAACUCCACAAACUCUUCACGUUCUUUCGACCUAAAAAAAACUCCACAUUCUCAUGUUUUUCUUCUUUUGCUCUUCAUCUUCUCUGUUCUUUGUCCUCUCUCGUUUGGAGCACCGAAAUUUUCUGUUAAUGGAACACGAAUUGAAACACAACAAAAAAACCCCUACCUUCGUUUCUUUACAUAUUCUUCUUUUGUUUUUAGUCUUCGUUUCAACGAAAAAGACAAAUCUCGAGUAAGCCAAGGAUCUUGCUCCAUUAACAGAGAAUUUGGCUUCUCCAAACGAGAGGGGACAAAGAACAUAACGUAAAAGAUGAGGAGUAGAAGAAGAAGAACGUAAAGAGUAUGGGGGUUUUGUUUUUAAGUUUUGUUAAUUUCUAUCUAUAUUUUUUUUGGACAAAAUUGCCCGGAAAUGUCAUAUGCUCAUCGGCCGGUGAACAUUUUGGCCGGCCGGUAGGUUUAGGUUUUUAUUUGAGACUUAUUAGCCACUUCAGGUCAUUAUUUGGAAUAACAAUUAUUUCGGGUCAUUAAUUGAGAUUUCCCAAAAAGUAAUUCAAGUUUUAGUAUUAAAUUUAGGGAUAUAUGCGGUAUAAGUUUUAAAAUUUAUCGUGAAAGUAUAAUUGAAUUUUAAAAUUGAUCAAAUUGGUACAAUCAAGUCUUUUUGUUGAUAUCGUCAAUUUGUUUAACAAAAAAUCUUGAAGAAGAAUUUUUAAAUUAAUUUAUUUAUCUUAUGUGGUAUUUUUUAUUAUUUUUUCUUUAAAUCUUAUUUAAAGAAUAGUAAUUAUUUUUAUUAAAAAAGCUAAAAUAAUUCUUAACCUGAAAAAAAAAAGGUAGGUUAGCUGCUUGGUUGGAUAGGCGACUGCCACCGUGGAGGGGGUCGGCGAGAUCGGUGGCCCUAGGUGAUGGUGGGUGGCAACUUGUGGUGGAGUUGGGGGGCCUUGCAAGGCCUCGCCGGCCUCGAGCGAGGGCAUGGCAUCGCCCAGAUUUGGGCGAGCCUCACUCGGGCCUCUAAGGCAUCGCUUAGAUCUAGGCGAGCCUUGCUGGCCCUUGCUUGAUUGGUGAUGGCUUCGCUUGGGCUGGCGAGAUGGCCCACCCGCCACUUAGGGCCAGUACUUCGAUAGUGGUAGCGGCGCCAAUCUACCCCUUUUUUUUAUAUAUUUAUUAUUUGAUCUCUCAAGUAUUGAAAAAUUUUAAAAUUGACCCCAUGCGUAUUAGAAUUCCGGAUUUGCAUAUUGGAGCUUGUCAGGGAGAGUUGACCACAGUUGGAUUUUUCCAAACUCAUUGAUCGCAUGUUGGAGCGUAGGACAUCACACAAAGGCUUUUGGAAAGUGUCGCUACUUCUUAGAUUCCACCUGAGUCCAAAAGCCUGGAAACUUCCUCCUGCAGAGCCCAUCUCACUACGCGACCAGUUUCUCUGAUUGUCUCUUUGAACCCUUCCGGUAACAGCUCGAAUCCACUCUGAGCCUCUGACCAUGCCAGUCCGACCAUCCACAAGAACGUUGCUGUUCGCCAGCCCCCAGCCGUUUCUGCAAACUCUACCUGAGCCAUUUUGAAGCCAAGAUUCCUAAGCUCACACGUGUAACUGAAUAUUUGCUUGCUUAUCAAGCCCCAAGAGGCAACCGGUUUCUUCCCCUAAUAUGCUGGUUGUGUUGGAGUCAACGCCUAAUAUGAAAAUAAGAUAAGUUCUAGUUGGACUUUGCCUCUGAUGUGCCGACUUAUUCCAGUGAGAAUGCUGGAUAUUCAAAAGCGGUGAGUGAAACCAAAAGUGAAGAACUCUUGGUCAAAAAGCAGAGGAACCGCCUCUGUCUCUCUGUCUGUCUAGAUUUGUCUCUUGUCCUCCAGAAGCCGCAAGUUGCUAGAGAAGAAAGUCAAAAGAAAAGUUGCAGCCCACAAUUGUUGACUCCUCAGCCAAGAAGAAAAUGAAAGUCCAUCAUGCAUGAAGUCUGGACGUGAGGCCGUGAAGUUUGAGCCUUCAAGUAAGGCUUGGCAGUGCCAACGUAAGGUAGGCCUCACAAGUCGAGAGAAGAAGAGAUUAAGAGAGAAAGAGAGUCUCGUCAGAGAGAAAGCAAGGUGUGAGCUUCACGCCAGAGAGGGCCUCAAGUCACCAGGUGCAAAGUACAUCAACGAAUCAUGAAUCACGCAAGAGAUUUUAUUGUUGCUCCUUCCUCUGCCAUCAUAUCUGAGAAUACUUGGUGGAGAGGUCCUUCACAGUUGGUGUUGAGUCUUGCUGCAAGAGCUAAGGGAACUCAGAGGAGAGGUCAUCCUUUGGUAAGCAGUGGGGAAAUAGAUAGGAAGAUAUAAUUGGGGAUACUGCACGGACCGGGAUGAUCGAAUUGAGUGUGACCUAUUCCAAUGGGGAAGCACUUGGAAUGCAGGACUGACCUCAAUUGAGCAUCGGGGUUAUGUGCCCUUGAAAGGAACAUCAGGACUUGCACCUAUCUACGAUUGCGUCUCCGUCCUCGUUCCUCCAUUGCUCUCAUCUGACCACAACCAGAGCCUGGGUCCUGGAUCAUUUGAGCAUACGAAAAGUAUUAUAUUCGGUACUGCGUCGAUUGCAUGUUAAGAAAAAUAAAGGAGACUUCUCUAGUUAUUUCGUGUUUCUUGCCUGGAUGGUAAAAUUGAAAGGGGCAUACAAAUCGAUUACAUCAUUGAAAGGUGACGGGAUUAUGGGAGAGCGACUUUCGUACUAUGAGACAUGUGGAGGAAACAAAACUACAUGAGAAUACCUGAAAUUUUGUUACCUUUCAUAUCUGGAUUUGCUCGUUCUUAUGUUAAAGCCAGCAGAGAUAAUUCCUCCUCUGGCAAGCUAGCUUCUUUCACCGAGGACUUCUGGUUAAUUUGACUUCCAUCCCAAAACUUGGUCUUAUCUCUUUGCAGAUUUUCACUAUUCCACUGGAGGCGACUCCUCCUAUCUGAUGGCAUUGAAAUCCACUGCUACCGACGUCACCAUAAGCUCGUUAUUGAUCCGAAAUGAAGUGAUUAUAACUCGGUUUUAACAUGAGAGUGCUUGAACCUUCUUAAAAAAAUUCAAAUCAAAGAAUUUUUUGGGAAUCCUACAACCAUAUUAGCCUAACAGAAAAAUCGUCUUGGAGCAGAGUCACGUACACAUAUGUAUUGUAGCCGACACGCACAACCUUAGGCGAGCUGAUAGAGCUUGUCUAUCCAAGAAAGCUAGAGAAAGCAUGACUUAGAAGCACAAGAGCUUCAAAGUCUGCAUUAUUUCAGAUAACUAGCUAUUUCUCGAGACAACUCAAGUGUAUCAAAGAAAUAUAAAGCUCCAUGAUUCAGUUGCUGUGAAAAUCGAAUUGAUCUGGAGGAUUCUCAUAUUCUUUUUUUUAUGAGAUGUGAAAUGAAAAACCUUGUCGUUAAGAUAAAGACCAAUUUUUAUGCUACUACUUCUUUCUUUUGUCAAAUGACAUGAGUGGUCUCUCGUGAUUGACUUAAGAAAGAAGGUUCAUCCUCAAAAUGUUGUCCCUGCAACAACAACAAAAACAACCGAGUCUCAUUCUGCUAAGUGAGGUCCAUCGUAUGAAUCCUAUUAUGCCAUUGCAUUUUAUCCUUUGUUAGAUUAUCUGUGAAAUAUAGAUAGUACCCUACUUAUCGUUGGGUUAGUGAUAUCUUUCAUUGUCAUUUCCUUCCACAUCUUUUUCUGGUUUCUCUUGUCCCUUUUAACAAUGGAUCCAAUCUUUAAUCUCACAUAGCGUCGUAGGGCACUUGAAAGCUUUCCUUCAACAUUACCAAACCAUCUUAAAUGGCCUUCCUCAUCUCAAAAUGCCUUUGAGAUGUUAUCUGUAGAAUGGUUAUGGUGAAAUCGACUUAUUACUUUUAUCUGCCUAUUAUCCUAUCUAAUUUCAAAUGUGUUAUGCUUUUGAUUUUGAUUGACUUGUUUUACUACGCGUUAUUACCACGUUAUGUAACCAAUAAUGACACAACUGUCACAUAAAACAUCUUCUCCACAUGUAAGGGAUGGGAAGAAGUAAUGAUAAUCAAUUGAAGAAUGAAAUUGUGGAUAGUGCAAUGGGAAAAAUGAGGUUCGGGUAAAGAUUAAUAUCAAUAACAAUCAUUAUCAAACUCUUUCCAUGAGUAAAAUAAUAUUUGGGAGAGAAAAAAAAUCGUUGGAACUACCAUGAUAUAAACAAUGACAUCUCACAACAAGGUUAUGUAACCAAUAAUGACGCGACCAUUACAUAAAACAUCAUCUCCACAUGCAAGGGAUGGGAAGAAGUAAUGAUAAUCAAUUGAAAUGAUUAAUAAGAAUGAAAUUGUGGAUAGUGCAAUGGGAAAAAUGAGGUCCAGGUAAAGUUUAAUAUCAAUAACAAUUAUUAUCAAACUCUUUUCACGAGAAAAAAGAUUAUUUGAGAGAUGGAAAAAAUUGUUGGAACUAUCAUAAUAUAAAGAAUGACAUCUCACAAUAGGGAUUAAGUAUGCGCAUUUGUUUCAACAUUUCAAAGGGUCCUCCAAAAGCUUUUGGGACGAAAUUGUUCCCUGAGCCGCAAGAGGUUCCAUGAUCUAGGCGCUUGCUCGACCUCUUCGAGGCUGCCAAACGAUUCGCUUUCCAGGCCUGCUUCCAAGAUAAUAUAUUUCCAUUCUCCAGUGGCCAUACCCCAUGGUUUUUCGUUUUUUUACCUUCAAAGCUACUUUGAAAAAUGCCCCAACCAAACCUUAUCUGCUCAAAGCAAAUAAUAGGCUUUGCGUCUUAAAGACACUCUCUCGAGAAUCUUCCAAAUGAACCCUAAAAACCCCAUUGCUAUGAGGUCAUUGGCCCAGUAUCUCCGUAUUAGCAGAAUGGCUAUAGUUUUGCUUUGGGAGAAGCUCCUCGAACCGCAUCUUUUGAUUAGCGGAAAAUAAACGCGAGCUGUAAUCAUGAUUUGGGAUCCAAUUAAAUUUAUUGGCUGGACGAAAUUUUAUUUAAUCAAUAAUAGAGGAAAUUAAGGGCGAUAACAAAAUAGAAAUUCAGAAUUCGUUUUAUCGUCUCAUGGGACGAGUUCGAGUUUUUUCUUUCCCUUACUGAAAAGAUCCUGACGAGGCCCAGUCCGAGGUUUCCAGAUGGACGGACCGGAUUCGCCAAAUCACUGGAACGUUCGUCCUAAAGACCGCGGGGGUACGAGAAUGCUCCUCCGUUUCCUAUUUAACACCCGACGCCACCACUUCCAAACCAUAUCGUCUGACGAUAGCAAUUCCUGUCUUAGUCCGAGCAUUCUGUCAAACGUUUCGUCGGCUCAAUCUCAUAUAUUCGCCGGUAAUCCCACAGCCAUGUCGCUCAUCCCAAGCUGGUUCGGCGGCCGCCGCAGCAACGUCUUCGACCCUUUCUCCCUCGACCUCUGGGAACCCUUCAAGGACUUCCCUUUCCCUUCCUCCUCCCUUUCCGCCUCUGAUUUCCCCCAGGCGUUCCGGGAGAACACUGCUUUCGUGAACACGAGGAUCGACUGGAAGGAGACCCCGGAAGCCCACGUGUUCAAGGCGGAUCUCCCCGGGCUCAAGAAGGAGGAGGUCAAGGUGGAGAUCGAGGACGAUCGGGUGCGCCAGAUAAGCGGCGAGAGGAACGUGGAGAAGGAGGACAAGAACGACACGUGGCACCGGGUGGAGAGGAGCAGCGGGAAAUUCAUGAGGAAGUUCAGGUUGCCCGAGAACGCGAGGAUGGAUCAGGUGAAGGCGUCGAUGGAGAACGGGGUGCUCACCGUGACUGUUCCCAAGGUGGAGGAGAAGAAGCCGGAGGUCAAGGCCAUCGAGAUCUCUGGUUGAGAGAUGGUGAAUCUGCGGCUGGCGCGACAACUUGUGUAUACACGUACACAGAGUGAGUGUCUGCGUGUGCUGUCUGCUGUGUGGCUUUCGCAUGUCCUGAGUUGGCCUGAGUUGGGAGUCUCGGUCCUCGUCUUUGAUAUGGCGGUGUAAUAGGUUGGAAAUAUGGCGAUGUGACAUAACUAUAGUAACCUGUUUUAUGUGAUAUCGGUUCCUCAAAAUCUUUCGGUUUUCUCGCCUUUCGCUUCCCCAUUCAGCACCGAAUUACGGCCUUGUCCCAAGGGACUUAAUUUAGUUCUUUUUUGGGAUGGUUAAUUCAUUCUCUUGGAAGAAUUCCUGUGAAGUGCAAGUGUUGUACUCGCAGGUUGUGAUCAUUUGUUUUUUUUUUUUUUUUCAAUUGGGUUUGGGGGUACCUGCAAAUUGCAUCGAGAGAAGCUGACAACUUUCGGGAUGAAACGAGGCUUAGAACCAUGAUUCUCCUUUUGAGCUCAGCGCGAGCUGCAGGGUUUCUUAUGCUGCAUUGUAUUGGGUUUGUCAGAUAACAUGACUAGAUAUCCCAACAAGUUUUUUAUUUCCGCUUGAUCGUCAUCAAAUCAGAGAUAACAAGAUCAGAUAUCCUUUCCUGAUGCUUAGCUCGAUUUCGUCUUUGAAAGCUCCGGGUUUCAUCCUCAUCUCUUCCCCAUCAACCAUGAGUCUCCUCACCGCUUGCUCCAUCUCUCUCUGGUUUAGAUCACCCUCCAACUCCAAUCCCACCAUUCAAACGUGGCACGGGUACCCUGCCUUCACAUUCUGGUCCCUACGGUUGGUGUAUCGUUGGGACUCCUUAGGAAAUAAUUUCCAAGGAACUAGUUCCAUCUGCAAAAGGUCCAAAAGCCUCCCGAGUUACGUGUGCUAAAACUUGCACCUCAUGAGCCCAUCUCGUAACACGGCCAAUUUUUGUUGGCUUUUUUGGACCCUUGCGCUAACAGCUCGAUCCACUCUGAGCCUCUGACUGAGCGAGGUCGGACCAGCCGGAAGAAUGCCACUCUUUGCCAGCCCCCAAGCCGUUUCUGCAAACUCUCCCUGAUCUAUUUUGAAGCCAAGCUUUCCUAAGCUCACAAGUAUAACUGAAUUAUGUGCUUGCUUAUCAAGCCACAAGAGGCAACUGGUUUCUUCCCUCUAUUAUACUGGUUGGCAAAGCCGGAGCAACUUUGUGCAGCGAGCCUGGUGAAAAAAAUGGCGCUCGUUAUUGUCUAUGGAGUUGGUCCGGUAACUGUUUCUCCAGGCAGUCCACUGUUCCAGAAAAUGCCUGAAGAUGCUCUGUUGUUAAUCAGGAUGGCUGCUAACUUCAUCAUGGGUUCUAAAUCGCCUGGUGAUACAAGUCCAUGCAUCUCGUGGGAUAAGCGCCUGGAAUAGUCUCAAUCGAUGUUGGACCUAAAGAGUCAAGGUGCUGCAGCUUAGCAUGUAUUGGUUCUACGACUUCAUAGUCUGAUAGAAAACAUAAAAACUUAUCCAAGAUUUGAAUAUUCCAGCAAGUCAAAAGAGAGAUACAACUUUUAUUCGAAUUUGAUACACUGUAGACUGCUUUCUUCCUUCCUAGUUGGAUUGCUCGACAUGAAUACGAGAGAAUAUGAUAUUAUAUGCAGUUUCAGCACGUGUGGUACUGUUGACUUCAAUUACAUGCCUCCUCUGUCCUCUGACUAAAGGAAGAGGUAAUGACUGGUUUAGACGGUGGGGCAACGGCUAUUGGAGCGUUUUACCUUCUGGAAACUGAGUCGCCCUAAAGACUUGGUAUGCUUACCUUUUCUUUGCAGCAAGAGCAUUUUACGAAAACACAGAGAGCCCCGUUAAAGUACUGCUUAAUGAGUAGUAGACGAUGAAAAUUGCAAGCCAAACUCAAAAUAUGUCUACAUGGACGAAUGAUGCAAGCUGUUGAGCGCAAUUCCUAUUUGAGUCACGCUGAUUAAUUGACUCUCUCUUUAGAUUGGCCAAGCAGUUUCUUUAAAUCUUGAAGAGACCCUCGCAGUGCUUUGGGAUAGCAAACAUAAUCAAGUCAGGAGCCUUUCCAGUUUAGUAGAGUACGACCAAAGAGAGCGCAUUCUUAACAUCCAAUCAGUACUGUGUGAUUGUUACUCUUGAUUUCUAGUGAAAUUCCUAUCGAGCUCCAUCACUGAGGUAAAGAAGGGUUUACUGCAAGUAUCAUUAUCUUAGAGUUUGUUGUGUAUGUUGAUAUCCGAGGGUUAAAGAUACCUUUUCAAGGAAAAUAACUUUUCUUUUGGAGCCAAGGGGGUUCAGAGAAAACCAGCAGAGUGCCCUACUACAAGAGCGCAAAGCAAUGCUAGGAAGUUCUAUAUGAUGAGCUGCCACCUAGCAAAGUACAUCAAUUCAAUCUUUUCCAGUUAAUUUUGGUCAAAUUUUGUUGACUAAAUAUCGAUCGGUUGACGUGAUACGAUCGACGCUGACGUGGAUAAUUUUUAAUAAUAUUUUAAUUUUUUUGGAUUUGAAUUUUACUUAAUUUUUCUUUUUCUUUUUUUUCAUUUUUUUUUCUUCUUCUCCUUCCUCUAGUCAAUCGUCAGACCUUUGGCAAUUGGCCAUCGGCAAGGCUUGAGCCCUCGCCAGAGGCUGUGAGGGCGAUCGACAAUCAGCCAGAGAAGACAGCUGGCGAGGUUGAGGAGGAAGGAGGGGCACAAAGAAAAAAGAAGAAAAAAGAAAAGGAAAAAAGAAAAAGAAAAAGAAAAAGAAAAAAAAGAAAAAAGAAAAGAAAAGAAAAAGGAAAAAAAUAUUAAAAUAUUAAAAUAUUAAAAUAUUAAAAUAUUAAAAUAUUAAAAUAUUAAAAUAUUAAAAUAUUAUUAAAAGUUGUUAACGUCAGCGUCAAUCGUGUCAUAUCCAAUGCUUAGUCAGCAAAAUCCGGCUAAAAUUAAUUGGAAAUUAUCGAAUUAACACAAAAUAAAAAUAUUUAAGACUAAAUUGGUAUUUAUAAAAUAUUUAGAAUUAAAUUAGCAUAAAUAUAAAAUGUUUAGGAUUUCUUGGACACUUUUCCCCCAAUAAACUUGAUUUAUAUUCAUGAUUUAGGAUUCAUUGAAUGUAAUUAGACAAAAUCUUAUUUAAUCAAGAAUAGAGGAAAUUAAGGGCGAUUACAAAAUAGAAAUAGAAAUCGUCAUUGUCGUAAUGUGACGGACCAGGUGUUUCCAGAUGGACCUACGGGAUUCGCCAUUUCACUUGAACGUUCGUCCGUCCGUCCGUUCGAGCGGGACUGGAAAGACCGCGAAGGUACUAGAAUGAUCCUCUCUUUCCUAUUUAACUCCACGACUUGUCUUCUAAGCUCCAUCGUCGAACGGUAGCAAUUCUCAUCAUCUUCCUUAAGCAUUCCAUCGAACACUUUCUCCGCUCGGUCUCGCAUUUUCACCGGUAAACCCAACAACCAUGUCGCUCAUCCCAAGCUGGUUCGGCGGCCGCCGCAGCAACGUCUUCGACCCUUUCUCCCUCGACCUCUGGGACCCCUUCAAGGACUUCCCUUUCCCUUCCUCCUCCCUCUCCGCCUCUAAUUUCCCUCAAACUGUCCGGGAAAAUACUGCUUUUGUGAACACGAGGAUCGACUGGAGGGAGACCCCGGAGGCCCACGUGUUCAAGGCGGAUCUCCCCGGGCUCAAGAAGGAGGAAGUCAAGGUGGAGAUCGAGGACGAUCGGGUGCUCCAGAUAAGCGGCGAGAGGAACGUGGAGAAGGAGGACAAGAACGACACGUGGCACCGGGUGGAGAGGAGCAGCGGGAAAUUCAUGAGGAGGUUCAGGCUGCCGGAGAACGCGAGGAUGGAUCAGGUGAAGGCCUCGAUGGAGAAUGGGGUGCUCACCAUCACUGUUCCCAAGGUGGAGGAGAAGAAGCCUGAGGUCAAGGCCAUCGAGAUCUCCGGUUGAGAGUCGGUGAAUCUAUGGUCCUCGUUACGACUUGUGUCUAUAUAUAGAGCAAGUAUGCUGUGCUAUGUGAGGGUUGGGAGGCUCGGUCCCAUGGUGUCUGAUAUAGCGAUAUGUUGUCCGCCGAUGACUCUUUAGUUGUAAUGAAAUUCGAAGUUACUAUUUUCUAACUUCUGUUUGAGGUGAUAUUGGUUGCUCAAAAGUCUUUUGAUUGUGUUUUGUUCGUGGGACGUUCCUUAUUUUUAUUUACAUACUGCUUCCGGGAGUUCAAUUAGUUUAAUUAUUUUUGGAUGAUUAAUUCAAUUUCUGGGAAGGAUACCUCCAAAGUGCAGGAUGGACUUUGCACAUCGUGAUCGUUUUUUCAGUUGGGUUUGGAGGUACCGGCAAUAUGGAGAAGCUGAUAAGUUUGGGAUGAAAACAAGCUAGAAACCACAUUACUCCUUUGGACUCAGAGCAAGGUUUGGGGUUCCUUCUGCUGCAUUGUAUCAAAUUUGUCAGGUAACAGGAUAAAAUAUUUGAUAUGGCCUUCAAUUUCUGUUCCAUCAUCAUCAGAUCAGAGAAAAAUGAUCAGAUUCACUGGUUCCUAUAUUGAGGCGUGCGAAGUAUCGCCUUUUCCGAUGCUCAUGUUGAUUUGGUCUUUGAAAGCCGCGGCUCUCAGCCUUAUCUCUGUCCCUUCCUUGCCAACCGUCAGCCUCCUCACAGCUUGCUCCAUCUCUUUCUGGUCUAGACCACACUCUAACUCCAAUCCCACCAUCCGAACGUGGCGCGAGUACCUCACCUUAGCAUUCUGGUCCCUGAAGCACGGUGGGCAUAUCAUUGGGACUCCUUUGGAAAUGAUUUCCAAGGUCGAAUUCCAUCUGCAAUGGGUCCAAAAGCUUCCUGUGGCACGGUGUGCUAAAACUUCCUCUAGAGCCCAUCUCGCAACACGGCCAGUUUCUUCGUUGGCUUCUUCGAACCCUUCUGGUAAUAGCUCGAUCCACUCUAAGCCUCUGUCUGAGCCAGGCCGGAUUAGCCACAAGAACGCUGCUGUUUGCCAACCCCCAAGCCAAUUCUGCAAACUUUCCCUAAUUCAUUGAAGCCAAGCUUCCUAAGCUCACAUAAAUAACUUAGGUAAAUUUGUAUGUAGAUUAAAAAAAAGUCUAUUUAUGAUUUUAAGCAAGCUUGUAGAUAAUGGUAUUUAAAGUUUCAUAGUGUUGUCAAAUAUAAAGUAUAUACUGUAUACAUUUUUUCGUACUUUAUGUAGAUGAUAUCUUACUUGCGAGUAAUGACAUUAGAUUAAUGGGACAAAAGUGGAUGUUAUCAAAAAAAUUUAACAUGAAAGAUCUUGGUGAUGCGUUUUUUGUUCUUGGCAUUGAGGUCCAUAUGGAUUGUUAUUGGGUUUGUUUUAGAGGGCAUAUGUUGAUCGUAUUUUAGAAAGAUUCAAUAUGCAUCAUUGCAAUCCGGGGUGAUAAGUUGAGUCUUUCACGAUAUCCUCGUUUAGAUUUUGAGAAAGUUCAAAUGAAUGAUGUACCUUAUGCUAGUAUGCUUGGAAGUAUCAUGUAUACUCAAGUUUACAUUAGACCAGAUUUAUUUUUGCGACAUGACUUCUAGGUAGAUAUUAGUCAAAUCUAGAAUGUGAUCACUGGGUUGUUGUCAAGAAGAUUUUAAGGUAUUUAAAGAGGACAAUAGAUUAUAUGCUGAUUUAUAGACAUGUUCCGAACUUACAACUAAUAGGGUAUUUGGAUGUAGAUUUUGCUGGUUGUUAAGAUGAUAUGAAAUCGACGGUGAAAUAUAUAUUUAUAUUGGCAGGAGGUGCAGAAAUCUAUAUAUUCUUCUACCAUGCAAAUAGAGUUUGUAGCAUGCUUUUCAGCUGCUAUUUAGGCGAUUUGGCUCUAGAAUCUUAUUAGGGAGUUAACUGUUUUUUAUUUUGUGGGUAGAGCUAUAUAGUUAUAAUAAUAAUAGAAGUCUCCAAAAGUCUAAGCAUAUGGAGGUCAAGUUUAUGACCAUAAAUGAAUCAGUACAGAAUAGUGGUGUUACAGUAGAUCAUAUUCCUACAGAUGAUAUGAUUGUAGAUCCAUUAACUAAAGACCUAUGCCCUUAUGUGUUUGAGUGAUAUGUCGUUAGCAUGGGUUUAGGAGUAUUUUGGGAUGUUGUUAUUUAGUGAAAGUUGUUUUUAUUUUUCUUUUAAUAAAGUUUAUAUUUGUGUUUUUUAUAUUUAGUAGCGUUUUGAUAUAUAUUAACAUUUGCAUUCAAUAAAAUAUUUUUAAAUAAAUUGUUAUUAUGUUGAAUAUAUAUUGAUAAAAGUCUUAAAUGUAUUAUAUAAACCUUAAGUGAAUGUUAAGGGCAUCGGGUUAUUAACCUUGAGUAUAUGUUUUAUCACACAUAAAGAAAUAUUAACUGUAAAGGCAAGGCAUAUGUGGGUUUACUAGAACCAUAAAAAUAUUUUCUAAUGGCAUAGAUUUUUGUGAUACUUAAAAUGAGAGAAUGGUGAUUGACAAAUGGGAUCUCUCUAUGAGAGAUGUUAUUCAUUUAUCACACUACCAUAUUAAAUCCAUAUCAAUAAAGUUAAAAGCACUCAUAAGCACUCGUGACCAUGAAAGGUUUUGUGUGUAUACAUGCAGCUCCUACCAUGAUUUGGUGUUUGAGACUUUAUAUGAUGUAAUUGACUAUUAAGAAUUAUCUCUUAAAUUAAUGCGCGCACAUACAAUACAAUUUCAAUUAAUAUAACUCAAGUGGAAGAGUAUAAAAGUUUUUCUAAUGUGGGUUACAUUAAUUAAUAUUGUAAUUUACCAUUUUUUGGGAUUGGUCUAAAGUGAGAUAGAAAGAUUUUUAAUUAAUUUAUAUGGGGCUAGUUAGUGUGGGUUAAGUUGAACUUGACUCGUAAUAAGAUGGCCUAGUUGGAACACUAUAGAUAGUCGUCAAGUCUCUCCUCUAACUCUAAUUUUCAUAAUUAUCCUCACAAAUGAGCAUUUACCUAACGCAAAAGGGUGAGGGGGUUGUCUCAUUGAGCCAAUGAUAUAGAGGGCAAAGAGGAGAAUGACUUGUGCUUGAAUCAUCGCUUUUUUGCUUUCGCAUCAAGAACGAUGAAUUCCAAAACAAGUGUAUUAAUUUUUUUACUUGAUUAUAUGUGUUUUUGUUCUAGUUAUGGAGAUAAUGAGUUACGUGUUUUAGCAUCUAACAUCCCUCUCUGAAGUCUAGAUCUAAAUUUGGGUUGCCCGUCUAAUGCUCCAUCGAGGGUUGCUAGGGGCGGUUGAGGAUCUAGAAGAGCACAUCUAGGUCAUUGGGGUCUAGGUUGGCAUGGGUCUAGGUUGCUAGUCUAAUGCUCCACUGAAUGUUGCGCAAGGUUUGUUGAUGAUGGCUAAGGUUGUCUGAUGGUUUGGGUUUGCUUGUUUGGGUCGAUGAUUGUGUGUUUAGGUCGCCUAUUUGUAUGCUCUAACGAGGGUCAUCAAGGGAGGCCGAGGGUCUCCAAGGAUUUGGGUUGACGAUCGCGUAGUUUAGGUUGUCGAGGUCAUGCGACCCUCAGGGUCUCCUAGCUUAGGCUACCCGAGGUUGCUUCACCUCGGUGUCACCUUGCAUGACCACUUCGACGAUUCAAUUGUUGCUGACAUUCAAUUUGCUUCCCAAGUUUGCUCCCAAGAUGAGAUAUCUCUACUCUCCAGUAGUUAUAUAGUUUAUUUUUUUUCGUUCUUUUUUCUACCUUCGAAGUUACAUUGCAAAAAUAUCAUGAAAGUCAUUUAACCAAACAAUAUUUACUUUGAGUCAAAGAUUCAUGGGGCAAUGACUUUGCAUUCUCUCAAAACUCUCCCAAACACGCAUUUUGAGUUACAGUGAUUGGUUUCAAGUUGGGUAGAUUUUAGACCUCAAAUCUGAAAUCUAAUCUAUUAGAACCGAUUCCAAGUUUUUGGAACCUAAAACCUAUUUUGUAUGUCUUGGAACCUGUCAUUCUUUUGUUCUUUUUUUUUUAGGUUCACUUUUUAUAGCAAAAAAAUAUAAGUAAUAAAAUGGUUCAAAGUAAAAGAUGACUAAGGGUGAAGGAGCAAAGGUGAGUUAGGAACGAGCGAGUGUGAGCCGUGAGUGAGCGAGGAGGAGGGUGAGUCGCCAGCAAGCGAGAGAGAAUUGCGAAAUGUUUGAGUAAGGUUGAAGAGAACAGAGAAAAAAGAGAUAGAAAAAUAUGUUAAGAGAAAAAUUGGGGUUUCUAAACUUUAUGAAACUUGUACCAAAUUUGAUUCAAUGACAUAUGGUUCUUCUUAACUGACCAAAAAAAGAAAAAAAGAAAAAAAAAAGACAUAUGGUUCUUCAGUUGAAAUUGCAAACAAGAUUGGUUCGAACGACUGAUGAUCCGGUUCUCGAAUAGAACUGGCCCGACAACAGAGCUCUACUAACAAACCCUAGUUUCAUAAAAAUCCUAGUAUCGUAAUGUCAUUUGCCCAGUAUUUACCUAGUAUGAGAUGAUUAUAUUUUUUUAGCAAGAGGAAUUCCUUUAAUCGCAUCUUUUGAUUAGUGGCAAAUAAACUUGAUUUAUAUUCAUGAUUUAGGAUCCAUCGAAUUUAAUUGGACAAAAUCUUAUUUAAUCAAGAAUAGAGGAAAUUAAGGGCGGUCGCAAAAUAGAAAUAGAAUUCGUCAUCAUCGUAAUGUGACGGACCAAGUGUUUCCAGAUAGACCUCCGGGGUUCGCCAUUUCGCUCGAACGUUCGUCCACCGACACUCAGAAAGACCGCGAAGGUACGAGAAUGAUCCUCUCUUUCCUAUUUAACUCCCAACUUGUCUUCCAGGCUCCAUCGUCAAACGGUAGCAAUUCUCAUCGUCUAUCUCAAGCAUUCUAUCGAACACUUUCUCCGCUCAGUCUCGCAUUUUCACCAGUAAACCCAACAACCAUGUCGCUCAUCCCAAGCUGGUUCGGCGGCCGCCGCAGCAAUGUCUUCGACCCUUUCUCCCUCGACCUCUGGGACCCCUUCAAGGAUUUCCCUUUCCCUUCCUCCUCCCUCUCCGCCUCUAAUUUCCCUCAAACCAUCCGAGAAAAUACUGCUUUUGUGAACACGAGGAUCGACUGGAGGGAGACCCCGGAGGCCCACGUGUUUAAGGCGGAUCUCCCAGGGCUCAAGAAGGAGGAAGUCAAGGUGGAGAUCGAGGACGAUCGGGUGCUCCAGAUAAGCGGCGAGAGGAACGUGGAGAAGGAGGACAAGAACGACACCUGGCACCGGGUGGAGAGGAGCAGCGGGAAGUUCAUGAGGAGGUUCAGGGUGCCGGAGAACGCGAGGAUGGAUCAGGUGAAGGCCUCGAUGGAGAAUGGG